CCGUGCAGACUGGAAUGGCACAGUGAGUACUUUAUUUCCUUUACAUACUUGUAUGGAAGAUUAUUAUUGUAGAUUGAAUUGAAAGUUGUUUAUAUUGUCUUAUUUUUAGUGAUAACUGUUGUAUACUCUGUCUGCAUGAUAGAAAUGUAAUUUAAAUUGCACAACAUCAACACAUUAAUAAUAACUACAAAGAUCUGGCAGGCCCUUCUUUAUACUGUCAUUUGUUAUAUGUACUUGCUUCUUGCAUAUAUGCCUUUUACUGGGAGAAGUGAGAUUGGAUGGGUAGUAUAAUUGACCUGCUUAAGAAUGAGUAUAUGUCUCGUUAUCACAUGCGGGGAUACCUUGAUUAACCAAAAACUGAAUAUAUGUGAAAAACUUUCUUCUCAGCUCUUUUUUAUGCUUGCUUUUGUUAUGAAAUCCUUCUCCAUUAUCGGAUAUUCUUCUCAUAUUAUGGACCUAUGACAUCAAAAUCAUUUGCUCCAAUUCUAACCAAGACUACUAUUUAAAGAGGUUAGGGAAGUUAUAUUUUAAAUCGUUGUUAAAUUCCAUGUAAGUCUGAAUAGAUGAAAGAAGGAAACAAAUAAGGGUGAAAAGCCUAUGUCUCUUGCAAGGCUAAUAAAAUCUCAAAUCAUUUUUCUUGGUUUACUUUCUUCAUACCAGAAGCUUUUGCCCUGAAGGUAACAAGUUCUUGUCUCUGAUUUUCUGAAUAUCAGGAGGUUGCUGUGAAGAAAUUUUUGGAUCAGGAUUUUUCAGGCGCUGCCUUGUCUGAAUUCAAAAGAGAAGUAAGCACUAUUUAGGCUUUUUGCAUGCAACAAUUUUUUUUCUUAUUUGCAUAAAAUAAAUAGAAAGGAAACUGUGAAUCCUUGUGAACUUUAAGAAAUUAUUAUGUUUCUUUCCAAAUGACUAAUCAGAGGUUUAGAUUGAGAUACCAAUCAGAAAAAAGUUUCGAGGGAGUGAAUAAUGUGUAAGAAAUGCAAUAAUAAAAUGAAAGGCAGUGAUUAUGUAAGGAAGGUUCCACCAUCGUUAUGUCUGUUAAGGCCAAAGUUAAUCUGUUUUCCAUCCUUUUGUUGCAAGGUACGGAUAAUGCGUAGGCUGCGUCAUCCAAAUGUUGUUCUUUUUAUGGGUGCUGUCACCCGGCCGCCUAACCUCUCAAUCAUUUCAGAGUUUCUCCCAAGGUAGAUAUAUUUUUGCUUUUUCCAUCAUCAUUUUUUUUAAACAUAAUAAUGGUACUUCAUAUAAGCCACAUUGGUCUUUCAAGUUACUCUUUCCGUAUUUGAGUGUCACACUGACAUUACUGUUAAUUUUUUUACAGAGGAAGCUUGUACCGAAUUCUUCAUCGGCCAAAUUGUCAGAUUGAUGAGAAACAAAGAAUAAAAAUGGCUCUGGAUGUGGUAUGAAAUAAUUAUCUAUCUUCCCUGUCAACCAUUAUAUAUACAUUGAUGAACUUCAAAUUUUAGAACAUCCCAAUUUACAGGCUAGGGGUAUGAAUUGCUUGCACGCCAGCACACCUACAAUUGUUCACCGAGAUCUGAAGUCCCCAAAUCUUUUAGUUGAUAAUAAUUGGAAUGUUAAGGUAUACGAUUGAAAAUUCACUGAGUUGUUCCGUUUGCCUUGUGUAUGUGAAGGCUAUUUUCCUGUGGUUUGUGGUUUUUCGUUUUCUGGACAUCUAUUGAACUGUGGAGAAAUCAAUUUCAGUGCUAAGUGGAUUUUACUUUUAUGAUAGCUAGCCGUUGUUUCUACAGGUAUGCGAUUUUGGGUUGUCAAGAUUGAAGCAUAACACAUUUUUAUCAUCCAAAUCAACUGCUGGAACGGUGAGAAUUAAGAAAAAUGUUUUAUUCUGGAGCUCAUUUGUUUAGUCGCAUGCGAUAUGUGCCUUAUCUGUCUUUUGUAUACCUGACAUGAUGAUCGUCAACUUGUUAGCCGGAAUGGAUGGCUCCUGAAGUUCUCCGCAAUGAGCCUUCGAAUGAGAAGUGAGUUGUUAUUAAUUCAAGAUAAAGGUCUUUUCUGGAUUGUAAUUGUUAUUUUAUAUCCUAUCUGUGCAAUCAAUAUUUGUUUAUGAUUAGUGGCUAAAUCUUUACCGAGUCUAUAAUGUGGAAGGUAUUAAGCUAGUCCAGCCUUCUCCUAACAAUAAAUAUAUCAACUGCUUCAUAGCUCAAAAUUGGUUCAGUGACAGUUUUUAAUAGGCUUUUGCUGGAUGGAAAAUAUUUUUUCCCGAGAUGCUGCAUUGACAAUUUUUUUAUGGUUUGCCAAUUCAUAGUGAUUCCCUUUUUCAUUCAAUGAAUUAUAAAUUUCUCCUUCAAUAAACAAUGUUGUAAUGGCCGUUUGUACCAAAUGAUCUUAAAUAAGUGGAAUUUCACUUUUCCAUGUUUUUUGUGAUAAAAAUUUAAUUCUUGGUAGACUGCAGUUUGAGAAGGAUGAUGCCUAAAUUUCUGAACAUUUAUACACACACACACACACACACACACUACACACUAAUUUAUUUUUCUACUCUGCUUUCAACAACAGCUGUUUCUUCAGCGUAUCUCUGUUAAUUAUCAUUUCAAAUGUGCAGGUGUGAUGUUUACAGUUUCGGUGUUAUCCUAUGGGAGCUUGCCACUCUUAGGUUGCCAUGGAGUGGAAUGAAUCCUAUGCAAGUUGUUGGGGCCGUAGGUUUCCAAAAUCGUCGCCUUGAAAUUCCUAAGGAACUUGAUCCUUUAGUUGCAAGAAUAAUCUGGGAGUGUUGGCAACAGUAAGUCUGUUCGACUUGAGGUUUGAUUUACUCUUCUUUUCCUCUAUAUUUCUUCACUUCAAAUGUUGAGGAAAAUGUGGAUUUAAACUUUAUUUCCAUUUGAUGACCUUUUUCUGUUUCCUCUCUCUCUCUCUCUCUCCCACUCUUGUGUCAGGGAUCCAAAUUUGCGCCCCUCCUUUGCACAGCUCACAGUGGCUCUUAAGCCCUUGCAGCGUCUGGUUAUCCCAUCUUAUCAGGACCAGGUAGCUUCACCUCUGCCUCAGGAGAUUUCUGUAAAUUCUACCCCAUGAAAAAUCUCCCUUUUCUAAAGUGUGAAUAACUAGGAUUUCUGCAUAGUACUCUUGUGCGUAUAAAGGUAACAAGCAAAAUAAAAUGAAAAAAAAGAGAGAAGAAAAUCAGCUAAACUUGUAACGGCAAAGUUUCAAUUAUUGAGGAAUGCAUCAAAUUGUCAAUUGCUGCUGCAGCCAAACAACUUUGGAGCGAUUUUUUCAUUGUGUUGAUACCUUGUCCGAGGAAUCAAAACUCGGUAAUAUAAUGUGUAAAUUACUGUACUCAAGGAUCGAAAUGGUUUCUUGUAAAGAAAAGAGGUCUCUAAAUUGUUCCUACCAAAAAAGAAGUCUCGAAAUUGUCUUUGUUAAAAAUGUUUUGCGCUGAAAAUCUUGAAUUUAGUGUAGUAGUUUUUGUUUGACAUUUUAUCUUGUGAUGGUAUUUUCGAUGAAGUUAUUAACAUCCUUUUCCAUGUGAGGGUUGAGUUACCAUGAAGAGAUAGUCAGAUUAAAGAAAAACAUGAAUAUAAUGAAGCAUGCACUAUAAUCUCUUCAAUUUUUCAUGACUUUGAUGUUAGCAAAUUUAUAUAUUUAAUCUGGAGGAUAGAGAGCUGAAAAAAAAACCUUACUUAAAUUUAGGCCUCUACAUGCAUAUACUAUUUUUCUCAAUGUCUCUCAAAGGACUCUAUCCUUUUUCAAUGACUUGUUUGUUCCAUAGGGCACAGAAAGCUUGUAGUCCAUGUUUAAAAGACGGGAUAGUUAUACAAUUGAUAAAGGUGUUCAGCCAGUUCCUUGGUCAAGUAUGAUUCAAUUUGGUAGUAAAUAAUUUUAUUUUAUAUAAUACUAGCGUACAUAUGGUCGUUAUUUCUGAAGAAAAUUAGUCUUAACGUUGUGGAUAAAAUUCUAUAAGUUCUUAUUGUUAAGAUGAGGUAAGGAGGGAGGACUAAUAUGUGGUUUAAAAUUUAGAUUAUGAUUAAAUCAAAUUUUGAUUUGAUGGAAUUAUAAUAGAAUUUGAUUAUUUUAAUAGGUAAAAAGUAUAAAAUUUUAAAUAUAAUAUAAGAAUAAAGGCUAAAAUUGGAAGAGAAACGAUAAAUCAAAACUUUGCAUUCCGUAUCAGUGUAGAUGUAAAUCAAUUUUUUUAAAAUCCAAUCGACCCUUAAAUUAAUAUAAAAUGAUUAUAUUGUAUAUUUUAUGAGAUUAAGAAUAACCGAUUUUGCGAAAGGGACACUAGACUUAACAAUUUUAUGAGAUUUGAACCCGGACACCAAAAAAAAAAAGACUUAAAGAAUUGAUUAAUCAAUGUUUGAGCUUCAGAAUAAUUUUCAAAUAGAAUUUCAUGUACCGAAAAUAAAAUUGAAAAAGCAAAAAUGUAGAAUAAUUAAUCAAUGUUUGAGCUUCAGAUUACUCAAUGUGUUUGUUUUAAGUUAUUUUGUAGAUGCUUACGUUUUUUUACGAGUUUAUUAAAUUUUAUUUUUAGAUUUAAAAUAUUCUAGAAAAUAGAAGAAUUUCUUUUUAAAGAAAAGGGUGGGAAUAUUUGAUUUAUAUAUUCCAUGAAGAUGAGAGUAAUUUUAUGUAUAACUACCUUUUAUUCUCCUUAUUAUAAAAGUUGUUAUGAAUAUUUGUAUACUAACUAAACCUCUUUUUUAAAAAUACUUUGGAAUAAAUAAUUUGUCUUUAUAUUUCCAGGAAAGUUAUUCUUAGGAAUGAAACGAACGCCCCCAACAUAUUAAUGUUGCCUUAAAAAAAAUGUUAGCAUCAUUAAUUAGUCGCUUCUCUCAUUCCGGUGUGUGGUCACAAGUUUACAUUUUUUGGUCUGGGCUCAAGAUGCCGGGGGUCGAACCUGCAACAACUAAUUUUUACAUGACUAGUGUUGUGGUGUGAUCAUGGCACAUGUUUACAUUUCUUAUCGAACUUAAAUGUCACCAAAAAAAAAAAUAUCGUGAAAUAAUUCCAUUCAAAGAAAGUGAAAGCGAAACAGAAAACGGCAAAGUAAGUUAGUUGUUUUCUUAACUAAGAAGUUAUUAAAACGGCAAAGCUGGGAUCCAAAUUCCUAACUAUCCAUUUUGCAAGUUGAUCAAAAGAAAACAUGACAUACAUCAUAAUAAUGCCCCUUAUAUAGGAAUUUUAGCAACACACUUACAUUACAAAAUCCAUGCUACUAUAUAGUCAAGCCUGAAAAACUGUUGUAUUCAUAAUUCCUUUUAAAGGUCUGUGACAAACUUAGCUAAAAGUUAGUUGCCACUAAAUAAGUUUUCAUCACAUAAGCAAAUUACUAUAAGGACCCAAAAUGCUCAAAAACGAAAAAAGACCAUGUUAAACAAGUAAUUAACAGAUACCUACCACACCCCAAGAAAACAUACAUAUUAACACACCUUUGGCUACCAUUUGUUAAAGACAAGUGAAAGGAGUUUAACAUUCAACCACUUGAUAACAUUAGCAAUAUAAGAUGUCUUGUAACCCUUAGAUCAGGUUAGACAUCCUUCUUCUAUGACGACACAAUGUUACUCUCAAAUUUGAAUCUGACGAUGUAACCAUUGUACUUCGAGGAGUUGAGACUUUUGAUUCCAAUUCAUUGCAAUUAGGCCUUUCUGUAUGAAUGGUAUUUGGAACAUUACUUGUUUCAGCAUGCCGAGAUUUUCCAAUUCCAGUUGAACUUCGCAAUAUUGCUUUGAUGCGAAGAUCUGAAUAACUUAAUGAUUGAGAAGAUGGAAACUGGAUUGAAUUUCUGGUGACCACUGAUCUUAAACUUUUUGUUCUCCCUCCAAUUUCUUGCUCAGAAGCAAUUUGCCUAUGCCGACUAGCAACAGUUGAACUCAUGAAUCGAGGCACUGAAUUGGAGACACUUCUUGGAGUAGACUUCUUAGAUGCUUUAGGAGUUUCGGUGACCUCUUUGAAAUCAUCUUUGAGGCUAGAAGAGGUUACCAAGUCAUCACUUUCCUGAAGAUUAUAUGUGGCUGAAAAGAGCUUUUUAUUCUCGCAUAACUUUAACUCAACAUUCUGUAUUUGAUCACCUAAACUCUGACGUUGUUUUUCAGCUUCCUUAAUGUUUUCCUCGAGCUCCAUAAUCUUCAUCUCCUUUUGUUUCUUCAAUUCCUGCAUUACAUGUAUGCAGUAAUCAAUGUUCAAACAGUUUCCACUGAGAAACUUGGUUUAGGACAACUUUUAUCAAGUUUACCAUGGGCACUUCUUUAAUGGACUCUAUUGCUCUUGCUCUCUUUGCAAAGUUUAAAGAACAAAUCGUCUCGCAAACAUCUUCUUCAGAUGGGCUAAUAUGCACAAGCAUCAAGACCUUCGAGCCAUCACCUUAAGUAUUUCAUGAUAAAAAUCAGACAUUUUAAUAUAAACGUUCCAUAUCACAUUUGCACAUGCACGUUCUUAUUCGUCUCAGUUUUUCACUAUUCUGCAUACUAAAGUUCGUAGUAUUAGAGAAGAAAGCAGUAUCAUACCAAGAGAAUCUCUCAGUAGUUGGGUCAGCUUGCUAUUUCUGCAAACAAAGUAACAUAAAAUUAUUAAUUUGGAUGAACUGGCAGUAUAAAACUUUCACACUGUUAACUAAUAACAAAUUAUAUUUUGCAUGGCCUUUAAAGUAGUUAUGAACUAAUGAUCAAUGUCAAACAGUUUUAGUAAUCUGACGAAUAUGAUUGAUUGAGAGUGUAUAACUUUUAUUACACAAACAAUGCAUAUCACUUAAAUCCUAUUUUAAUUGUCUAGCCGUCUUAGGCAUGAUUCACAUAAGAGACAUAAUUAAACAUGAGGAAUCAACACCAGUAUAAAACUUGCCUGUAAGGUACAUGACUCCUCUUUCUCUUCAAAGCUGCAAGGACAUCAGCUAGAGCUGAAAGAGAAAGAUUAAUAGCUCGGCCUUCAUCAAGUGUUAGUCCUCUGGCCCCAGUUUUUAGCAACCGCUCGCUGCCUCCAAGAUCAACCAUCCACAAUUUACUUGUUUCGGUUUUGGCUUCUGAAGUAUCCCCGCGUCUAAAUAUGCUUAUCCUUGUCAAGCUAGAUAUAUAAAGCUAAACAGAUAAUGUAACUAUCAAGCUGAGAAAACCGUGAAAACAUUUUAGAGCAUCUAAUUAGAACUAUGACUCACCAAUGUGAUCUGCUUGAUGCUUCAUUUACAUUAGUCCACGACGUGGAUCUGCAUCGUCUUCCCUUGUUGUACCACCAUUUGGCUUUAGCACAAUCAGAAAUUUGCACUUCUGAGAGACCCUCAAUUUCCACCAAUCCCUUUGGAUCAGUUUGGAUGUUGAGAUUGCUGUAGGCAGAGUCUCAAACAAAUUACCCUAUGAAACUCAAUCAUACAUAAUAGUGUACAUUUUGUUCCACUUUUGAAAAAGACAAAAUUGAUUCAAGAGGUUCAGAAAUAAUUUUGACGUAUUUGGAUGUUCUAAGUAGAAUUGGUUUUUGAUUCUAACUUGAAGUUAGAAUUUGAAGUUUUUGGCUCUACGAUUGAUUUUUAGCCUCAAAUUUGUUGUCCAACCCGCUUUUAUAUGAAUAUUUCUAAACAUAAAUAAAUCAUUUUACAUCCAUCUCACUUUUAGCCAUAAUCAAAUCAAAGAAUCAGGUCAUUCAAAAUCAAUUUUUGUCACUGCAGAACAAAACGCGCAGAAAAGUUUUAGUGAAAAUAGCAAAAAGUUACCUAUUUGCCAGAGGUUGGUGUGGUCUACAAGAUUGUCUGGGAGCCAGCAGAUCCCUGACAUUGCCCAUGUAAACUUCCAACAUACUCAUUGAAAAAGUAAAAGAAGAUGAACCAUCCAUGGAUGCUUGACGAAAGAGCUCUUCGAGAGCACGAGGAAUAAUCCCUGGCUGCUCAUUUGUACCAUCCUAAAAUUAAUCAUAGCAGAAGCCAACAUGCAUAUUAGAUAAUAGCUAUGCUGCUACACAAGCACAAACUUAGCAGUAUUAUUAUUUAGCACAUGAGCACAAAAUAUCAAUAUGACUGACCAUGGUGAAUGUCUUUCCUGUGCCUGUUUGACCGUAAGCGAAAACGCACACAUUGUGUCCGUCCAUUGCAGAUCUUAGAAUCGGCUCGACAUCAACAAAAACACUUUCUGCAGAUGUUCAAACAAUAGUAAACACAGACAUUUCCACAUCAGUAAAAUUUGGUGCUUCAAUCAAAUAAUUAAAAUUGGGAAGCAAAGACAAUGAUUUUUUAUACUAGCCUUGGCUUGCUUCUUGAGGAAAAACCUUAUCAAACUCAAAAUCUUUCCUUGUUCCUCCAAACUUAACCCGAAUUCUCUCGGAUCCAGCUGAUACAGGUUCAGAAUUUCUUCUCUUUUCGGUCAAAUGAACCGGUCGAAUUCUACAAAACACUCUAAUGCUCCCUGAACAUCAAAAUAAAAUUAUUCAACCCUUUAAUCAAAAUAACAUAACAGAAUUUUAAUCCAUACAUCAACAUAUAAUAGAAUCCCCAAUCAACACUACAAGAACUACCUUUUAUAUCCAAUAUCUUACUCAGUGCUUCUCUCCUCUUUUCAUCCACUUUUCUCUGCUUCAGCCUCAGCUCCUCAACUUCUUCUGCACAAAACAAAAUCAGCAACAUUUAUUUCACAUUUGAUUCAACAAAAACCAAAAUGAAAAAAAAUAUAAAUAAAAUAUGUAACUUUGUUUAUUUAUAUACAUACUUUGCAAAUUGGAUAUGAAGUGUUGAAGCUCAUUCUUUUGUUGCUCAGGCACAACUCCAACAUCAGUGAAAACAGUCGAAACCGGUAACGACCCAUCAACUGAAUCUGACUUAGAAACCUCAGUUUCAUUUUCUGAAAACACCUCAAUCUUUUCUUCUUCAUUACAAACCAUCAUUUCUUUUUCUUUUUUUUUCCAACAGACACCUAUUUAUGGUAAAGUGAAGUAAAGUUGAAAACCUCGUACACAAGACAGACACUGAUUGAACAGUAAAGGAAACAAAACAAUCACUGCUUCCUCGUACUACACAAAUCUAAGAGAGAUCUGUUCUGUUACUGACUCAUCAUAGAAAGUAACGAACUAUCAUAUCAUAGAUUGCAAAUAAAUUGGUCAACAUGUAAAAAUAAAAUAAAACUAAAUAAAUAAAAUGAUGCAAAUAUACUUGUUUGAAUGAAACUUGAAAGUAGGUGAAAUAUAGAGAAGUUUCUAGAGGUUGAAACUAGUGAAUAUGUAAACUAGUCAUGCAACACGACAAGAAUCUAUAACAACAUAAUGAAGCAUGCGUUAUGAUGAAGUUAUUAUUGUUGUUAAAAGGAAAAAAAACAUUAACCGUGAUUCUUGUAACGUGAACUAAAAACCACAAAUAAAAAUAUAAAAAGUGGGAAGGUGUGCUAGGGAUCAAGGUUGAAAAUUGAAAUUCAAACAACACAACCACCACCUCGUGAAAAUUCAGGAGUACCAGAAAAAAAUAUAGUAUUAAAAAAAUAAAGUGUUGGUGGAGAGUUAGUUUCAAUGAUUGAACACUUUCAUGUUAUUGGAAAUAAAAUAUGAUUGAUUGAACACUCUUAUCUUGUGGACCGUGACUGUGAUUGAACAUACUUCUACGGAUAUCAUAUUAUUGUGUCUACUUGAGAUGUUUUCUUAAGAAUUAAUUAAGUAAAUCAUUAUCUUUUUCUACUUUCAUGUUAUUGGAAAUAAAAGACAAUGAUUUAUUUACUUAACUAAUUUUUAAAAAUGAUAAUAAUAUGUUAAGACUAAAAUAUUAAUUGUGCCAAAAAUAUUCGCAUACUUAGUUCAUUAAUAUUGAUUCAUCAUAUAAAUGCGACUAUUUUAAUAAAUAGGAAUAAAAUUGAAAAAAAAAUGUUAAAUUUUUUAUAUUGGGUGGGAAUACGAUUCUUUAACUAGAAAAGUUGUUUGAACAUUCCAAAAGUUAUCCAACAUUGUAUUUUUAUUUCUCUGUUUUUCAAUCAAAUUAACAAUUGUUUUUGACGUAUUUAUAUAUGGUUUUUUUUUUAAGGAACAGUGUUUAUAAUGAUUGUUUCAUAAGUUGACAAUUUUUAAUUGUUCAAAUAUCAUUACUCAUUUUUAACUCUAUCGUUAAUCCACUAUAUCAUUUUUAACAUUCACGAUUUUAUUUUGUGAAACACGCGUGGUUCCUUAGUUUAUGUGAGCUUUAUUUUUAAAAUGUGAAAUCUACGUUAAUUUCAAUUAUAUAAAAGAAGAAGAAGUAUCCCCUCGCGUGAACUUCACAAUUGAGAGGGUACAUUGAAAAUCUAUACCAUUCAAUCAAGUUUUUUUUUUGUACAACCAUUCAAUCACUUUACAUUAAAGGGUCCCGCAUGGAUUAGUGAAAAUAAAUUUGUUCAGAUUUAACUGAACUCUUCAGCGACAUGAGAGAACUUGAUCCCAUAAAAUGUUAAAAAGAGAGUAAUGUUGAUAUUAGAUAAUGUAUAUAAAAAAAGGGAAAUAUUAACGAGUGUUCCGGAAUACUCGUUAAUAAGAGGAAAAAGAAAAAAUAGUGGUGUAGGAAUAAUUUUGGUUGGUCGAGAUGUUGAGCUUGAACAAAUUGAAGUGUAAAGUUGUGUUUGGGAGUGGGAGGGAGCGUGAGGAGUGGAAUCGAAGUGUAAAAUAUGUUUUGGUUUUGGUUUUGGUUUUGGUUGGUUGGUUACACACAUUUCACUGCCUGUGUCAGUGUGUUUUUUUUUCUUGUUUAUUUUGAGCAAUACUUUGACUAGACGCAAGAAGGAACGUGGUUGGUCCAUCCUUUCUUCUGCAUUUAUUUCAAACAAAAGAAAUUCUUUAUUUAUCCAAAACAAGGCUGGCAUACGCUAGGGGGGAACGUGCUUGGUUCUUCAUUUCUGCCAAUAUGUGGGGCCUCUCUCUCUCUCUCGCAAGGUGGAUUCCUUACACCGGUGCUUCCUCGUUUAUGGAGUACUAUUCACAAACAUAGACAAUUUUCUUAAAGUGAAAACAAGUGUUAGGUUUAAGAAAGGGAAAUGCUGAAGAAUUUAAAUAGUUUUUUCUUUUGAGAGGAAAUAUUUUAAAUAGUUAGUUUUUAUAAAAAAAAAUAAAGUAUAUUUAAUGUAUUGGACUUGAGGUAUUUGAUUUUUUUUUUAAAUUGAAUUUUUAAUUUGAAAUCUUUAAAUAUUUUCAUGAGGGCACUCGUUAGCAAAAUUCUUUUAGAAAAUAGGGUGAUGGCUAAACACUUUCUUAAAUUAAGAAAGCUAAAAAAAAUAUAAUUUUAUAUCAAAAACAACAAUUUUUAAACUUUAAAAAUGUUAAAUUUCGUCACUUUUCAACGUAAUAUUUUUAUAUUUGUUUCCUUCAAUGCUCUACUACACCCACACUCUUUAGCACUUAGAAAUUAAAAUAUGUAUUUUCUUCCAUCUCGAAUAUAAGUAACAAAAAAGUUAGAUAUAAGCAAAUACAAACUACAUCUAUUUUAUUUUAUUUAAUGUUAUUAUUUCUAAAUUGUUCAUCCGUUAAUGUGAACUUUAUUUUUCAAUGAAACUUUUGCUUCUCAUUAAACAAGUUCUCAUGAGGAGAAAUUUAGAAAUUACUUCAAUCGUAAUUUUUUAAUAACCUUGAGAGAAUUCAAUGACGGCGUAUUUUUUAUAACCUUGGUGCAACAUACUUGUCUGGAUUAAAUCGGGUUCAUGUAGGCAAUGGUCAAGGUUUGUCAAUCACUUGCCUUUGGUUCAUGACUUUUCCCUCACCUUUCUAAUCUUACACCACUCCAAAAUUGAACAUUCUCUUACUUGUUACAUCUAUAACCAAGAAUAUCUAAUUAGUGUUUUGUGAAACGUUAUGAUUCAUCUAUAAGAAAUAAUAUCUAUACAACCAUUUUCUGACAACUUUUUAAUAAUUUUCUUUCUCAUACUCAAAUUAUACUAUUAUUCUCUCUCUUCUUUUCUCUCUCUCUCCAUCCAUUAUUUUUAACCAAUGAAAAGAGAGAGAAAAGAAGUUGUCACAAAAGUUGUAUCAAAUAGUUGUUCAAAUCCUUCUAAAAGGUAUUCUUGGGUAUGAUGGACUCAACAAAUAUGACAACAUGCCCUUUCCCAAAGUUCAAACUCUUUGAUAAAUUUGGGUGUACACUUAAGUCGUGUUUUCAAUUAUGCAUUGAGUUUCAAGAACUUCCUUUGUAAUAAAGAUAACAGUGUCAAUAAUAAUACUUCAUUACUUGUUCAAUCCACUCCUAGUCUAUAUCAAAUUUGGCAUUGAAGGUCAGGUUGCCCUCUUCAUGAUGUGCACAAGUAUGUACUAAAACUAAGGCUGGAAAUGAGUCGAGUCGAAUCGAAUCUGCCUGAGCUCGGCUCGACUCGAUAAGAAUUGGUUCGGCUCGAAACUCGGCUCGAGUUCGACACGAAUUAUUUUUUCAGCUCGAGUUCGGUUCGUUUAAAGUUCACGAACAGUUCGGUUCGGCUCGUUAGGUUCAGUUCGGUUGCUCAACUUGUCCAAAAAAAAAAAGUUAAUUUAUAGAUCUUUGAUAUUAUAUAUAUAUAUAUAUAUAUUUUAAAAUUAAAUAUUGAAUUAAAAUAAAAGUUCCCACAAGCAUGCAUAUAAUAGACAUAAAUUAUAUAAAGUUAAAGGUUGCAUAAUUACGAAGAAAAAUAUCUGAUACAAGUAACAGAGACAAAAAAUCAAACAAAAUUCAAUUAGCUGUGAACAAAAUUCAUAAUAUUAUUUUACUUUUAAACUCCAACUGCUCUUCCCUUCAAGACAAAAUUGUAUUCAGCCACAUUUGCCACAUUUGAAUUAAAAAAAUUUAAAAACUAAUUCAAAUUGAUUUAUAUAUAUAAUCGAUAAUCGAGUCAUCUCAUGAACCUAACGAGUCGAACUAUAUGUAGCUCAAGUUCAGCUCAUUUAAUUAACGAACUUAAUUUUCGGCUCAAGUCCAGCUCAUUAGGUUCAUGAACCAAGUUCGACGGAUUAAAUAUCGAGUCGAAUGUCGAACUAUAAUCGAGUUGGUUCGGUUCAUUGCCAGCCCUAAUUAAAAGAUUAUGAUGUGCAUGUUCUUGAUAAAAGCUUACUUUAUUUUUGCAAUCAUUGUUGUUUGGGCAAAGUCCAAAGGCUACCACUAAUGCAUAUAUUUCUUCCGAUACCAGCCCUCUUGAACUUAUUUUUCGUGAUUUGUGCGAUCUUGCCCCAAUUACAUCUUCCUGUGGAUACAUUUUUUUUUUUUUUACUUGUGUUGAUGCCUAUAAUCAUUUUUACUUGGGUUUAUCCCCUAAAAAUCAAGUCUCACACACUAUCGAAAUUCACACAAUUCAAAUCUUUGGUUGAUCUUCAGUUCAAUUUUAGAAUCAAGUUUGUUCAGACUAACGACGGAGACGAGUUUUGCCUCUUCAUCGGCUUUUUAAUCUCUCAAAACAUCACUCAUAGAAUUAUUUAUCCCAUAUACAUCAUCAAGAUGGUUCAUAGAGAGAAAACACAUACACUACUUUCCAAUACAUUUUGCUUGAACAUUCGAGUGUGCUGGAAAGCGUAUGACACAAAGUGUGUUGCUAACAUUAUUAAAAAAACUACAAUGAGUUCCAACACAUCUUUUUGGAUUGGUUAAAAUUUUAAAAAAAAAAAAUCCACCAAAUUGUGUUUGUCUUGAAUAAAUUUAAUGGGACCGGUGUGAAUUUUACUCCAAAAGGAUGUGUUGAAAAACAUAUAUUAAUAAAAGAAUGUUUUUUUUUUUUGAGAGCUAAUAAAAGAAUGUUAUAAAUGAUAGUAUUAGAUUUGUUGUUAACGUUAUUAAAAAAAACCAUGAGCAGUCUUAAAACACUCUCUAACGUACACUUUUUCCAACAUUUUUGGACGGGUUAAAAUUCACACAAAUCUUAUCGAUCAAAUUGUGUCAGGCGCCAGCCUCACAUAAAUAUAAUGAAUUUCAUGUAAAUUUUAACAAUAAAGAGUAUGUUGUAAAAUAUAUAUUAAAAGAGUGUUGGUGUCAUUACUACUAACAUUUUUGUAAGGCUAGGAAAUUAAGGGAAUGAUAUUUAAAAAAUUAUUUUGUGAUAAUUUUUUGUCAACUUUUCUUGUUCUUCUUUUUUCUCUUCCUUUUUCUACAAAAGUUGUUAUUAAAUUAAAUUAAAUAUCCCUAAAAAAAAUUAAACUAAAGUAAAUUAAAUAAAAUAAAUUAAUUUGCCAAUGCAUGCAACUAGACAUGACAAUGACGCGGGGUGGUGACAAGUUUUACCUUCCCCGUUUCCAUACCCAUUCUCAUAUAAUUACCCUUUACCCUACCCAUACCCAAGGGCGGAUCCAGAUUUUAGGUACAUCUGGAGCUAAAAUUUCAAAUAGUCUAAAAUACAGUAGUGUGCUCUUACAAAGGUGCCAAAAGCAAAAGAGCAAGCAACUACCAACCUAAUACUCGGCAAUUAGCUGAGAAGGAGGAGAAUGGAGAGCUGCUGUUAGUUGAGAGAUAUUGAAAUUUGAGAGAGAGGAUGAAAAGAGAAAAGGCACGUAGGAAGGGAAAAAGAAAGAGAAAGUGAAAGUGAAUGUGUUGCUACUGUGUUUUAUCUAUAUAUAUAUAUAUAUAUAUAUAUAUAUAUAUAUAAAGAAACAACCAUUUUCAGCAUUUUUGGGCCGACUUUUUCCUUAUACCCUCAAUUUUCAAUACAAAUGACACAUGUAAUAAAUAGAAAAGAAUAAAUUAAAUAUUAAAAUAAAAAUGUAACAAACACAAACAUCGAGUUUUUUCUUUAUCAUUUAAAAAGUGAACAAACUAGAUGAGUGUAUUUAUACUUAUUUUUUCAUUAUCCUAAUUAUAACCUUAAACAACAACUUUUUCUAUAAUAAAGAUAGUUGUUGGUGUCAUUUUUUUUUUUAGCAAAAGCAAGAUUAAUUCAUAUCAUCCAAAAUCAAAGAGUACAAAUAAUCAUGUUUUUAGAUUAUAUUUUUUUUUGUUAUAUUGUUAGUUUCUUUGAAAUAAAUAAUCAUGUUUGGAUUGAUUUGUUAUAAUUUGAAUUCAACAAAAAUUUAUAUUUUACUUUUAAUCAAAAUUAAAAUUUCAAAAAAAGAAAACACCGUUCAUAAUUUUUAAACUGUAGCGCAAUAAAAAGAGCGGAAGAACGGCCACAUGAGUUUAUGUCAUUUUGCUAGUCUAUUCUAAAAAAAAAAAAAAAAAAAGGAAAAGCAUGUGGAGCUUUAGCCCCACAUAGAUCCAAUGUGGGUCCUCCCCUGCCCGUAUGCAGCGGGGAUGAGAAAUUGAUCCCAUUCCCAUUCCCGAUGGGUUCGUGUAUCUCCGCCCCAUCCCCAUCGCUGUAGUGGACAAUUUUUUUAAUACGAAUAAAAGAUAUUUUUAGUCUCGGACUCAAUGUUGUAAACAAAGAAAUGUUGGCAAUUGAUGACUAUGGUGAAUGCGAAGAAAGAGGUCGAGAGAGAUAUGAAAGGAGAAAAGAGAGAACUAUGAUAAGUGAUUGCCAUCUGAAAGAUUGAGACUCUGACUGUGUGAAUGAAAUGAUUUAGAGUUCGAGUUUUUAUUUAUAUAAGAGGGAUAAUAAAUUGAUUUUCUAUAUUCGAGACGAGUUUGGGUAUAAGUUCGGGGUGAGUACCUAUAUCCCUAUUACUUAUCCCGUACCCGUAUUUUAUAAUUGGAGAAAACCCAUACCCGAACCCAAAUCCAAACAAAGAAAAUCUAUCAAAUUAGGUUUGGUUCAAGUGGAUACCACAUUUAUGAGUUUGGUUAGCUUGUCUAAAUGCAACAAUAUUGUGGUGAAAGUGAAGUUGGGACACGUGGUAUAUUGAUAUUGAACCACGUAAGCAGUAAAAUCAGGAAGAAAGCAGCUAGCACACAGACACAACUUGUGUAAUUCAAUUCAGAAGACAGAUCUCUUUACUUCUAUCGUGCGUGGAAAGACAAUCUUAUCCUCAACUGAAAAUCACAACAAACAAACAAACUCAGUCAAAAUCAAAAUCAAAAUCAAAAUCAUAAUCCUAAUUUAAUUUACUUACAUUUUCACUCUCUUUCUUUCUUUCUUUCUUUCUCCUUCACAAAAGUAGAAAAAUAAAAAACAAACUGAGUCACACAUUCACCACUGAUCGAGGUUCGCACUUCAUUUUAUAUUUCGAACCUUCUUUUUCAAUUAUUUGUCAGCAUUUAAUAUAUAAUUUUCAUAAUUAGGUUAUUAAUUUUCGUAACGGUUCAUAUUAUCAUCAUUAUGAUUUUAAUUCUUUACGUUUUUAUAUACUUGAUUGCUUCAGCUGAGUUUGAAUCCACAUUAAGGAUGUCAAUUGGGAAAAAGCUCUGAUAAUGUAAUUUAAGCUCUCAAUUUACAAAUUAUGAUUUUGAUUUUUUGCGUUGUUUACGUACUGCUGCGGUUUUGUUUUAGGUUGCAUUGCAUUGGUUACAUUUCUUGUGUUUCAUUGAAGUCAUUGAUUCUACUGAGCUCAAUUUUGUCUACAAAGGGGUUUUUGGUUUUUAAUAGGGGAUAACUGAUAAGCUAGUUCAUGGGGACGAGCUUAUAGCAAAUAGCUUAUAACCGAUAAGCUAGCUCAUUAGAUUUAUAGUUUCUGUAGUAUUAGCAGUUGAACUAGCUUUUACAUAUGAAAUGACAUAAACAAAUAUAAGUUAACUAGUAUUUUAUUUUUUGCAAGUAAGCUGACGGAGUAAAAUUGAGAGAAAAAAUGAUAAGCUAUACAUUUUAAGCUUUAGGCCCCGUUUGGAUUGAUCUUAUGAAGAAUAACUUAUGCAAAUAAAUAAACUUUUAUAUUAUUUUAUAACUUCUCACUAACGAAAUUUUUAUCUUCAUAAGUUGUUUAUUCAUAAACUACCUUAACAAACUUAUGAAUAAUAAAUAAAAGCUUAUUUAUUUGCAUAAGCUCAAUCCAACCGGGGCCUUAAAAUAAUUUAAUUAGCUUAUCAAAAUAAGCUACAUGCUAGUAAAAAUAAGUUAUAAGCUCGUGAGAGGAAAAAAAAGAUUACAAAGGAGUCUUAUUUUAUCAAAUGAGUUUAUAAGCUAUAAGCUCAAAUUCCCGCACUGCCAAACAGAGCCUUGGUAUUGUUUUUGUGAUUUUGCAUUACAUAGACUGCUCAAAAUCACUACAAUUGCAAUUUGCAAAGAAUUAGAUUUACUGGGUUUAUUGGAUAUUGGAUGUACUAUGAAUUGUUUCUGUAUUUGUACAGACUAAGAUUAGAUUUACUAGAUUUAUUUAAGUUCAGAACUGUUGGGCAUGGGUUAUGCCUAAUGCAUAGGACAUUGGUAUAGUUGACAUGUGUUUCACAAGCGUUGCUGUUACAGUUGUUCUAGAAGUGCCUAGAUUGGUACAGAGAUUUAGCGUUGCUUCUGCAGUUUGACAUCUUGUUAGUGGGUUUUGUCUGACAAGUUUACCCGAGACAUAUUUUGAAAAUUCAGGGUAUAAUUAUCAAUAGUUUUAGGGUUGAUAGUUGAGCAUAAAAAUGUCUAUGCUUGACUCUCCAAGGUGUUUGGUCCUAGAUUUUCUCUUACAACACAUGUACACUGCAGCAAGGUAUUCCGUUAUGGUUACCACAUCUGCAUUGUAUCACGCCGACCAUUUUCAAAUAUAAUUUGUAUAUUAUAUGUUAUGUGGGCUGACUCGUGUAGUUGGAGCAAAUUGCUAGUUAUAGUAUGUCACCUUUUUCAUUUUCUUUAAUUUACUCCUGGAUAUAUGUGCUAUGUGAUUUAUCAUUUAUUAUCUGCCACAGUUUCGGCAAUGCACAAGGUGGGUAGUGUAGGGAACCUAAAUAAUUCAACUCGCCCGCGUAAGGAGAAGAGGUUGACAUAUGUGUUGAAUGAUGCUGAUGACACAAAGGUAACUCAUUAUUUCUUUGUUCUAUCUAUUCCAGAAAAAUGGCCAAGUUUCAUUUUUGUUAUAACCUGCUUCUUUACCCCCAUAUAGACCUUUUCUUUGACAUGUGCCCCAAAUUUGUGAACUGGAUGAGAUUGAGAACCUGGUUGUUUAAAAAAAAAUUCAUGAAAAAAACCACCUUUUGAAAAAGAAAAACCACUUUUAAGAAUUUUAACGUGUUUUUAAGCUUUGAAAAGUUAUCUGAAUCAAUUUUAAAAAAGAAAAGAAAAACCCGAAUCAGACAAAAUAAAUUGUAAUAUGGGUAUAAUGCAAAAUGAGGAAUGCUAGGGUCACACCCUCUAACACUCUCUUUAAACACACACCAAUGAUAUGAAGCCAUCUCAUCUCUUAUUUUUAUUUCUUUACCGGAUAACCGGUCAAACAAGUGUAAAGAAAACAAUUUCUUUUGGUUUUUUAUUUUAAUUAAUUUUCCAGGACAUUGUUGCCAUCUCCAACCUCCAAAAACUACAUGGAUUCUUAUCUCUAUCGUAAUCUCUUGCAGUUGUCUCUGGUUACCUUUCCUCUGCAAAACUGUUUUUUAAUUUGCUGCAGCAAACCCUUUCCCUUUAGUUUUCGUUCUCCUUCUUCUUCCUAUUUAAGAUCUAAAUCCCCAAAAUUUCCUAAACCUUUUACUUUCAAACUUAAGAUCUAAAUUCACGAACUCUUCAUUUUUAUUUGACUAGUUUCUUUCUUCUUCUUUUUUUGAUUUUGAGUUUACAAAGUUUUGAAGUUCUUGUAUGAUAUAAUUUUUGGUGGGUUUGUUUUUCAAUGGAGAACAUAAACGUAAUCACACAAACCUGUUAGAGAAAACUGUGUUCAUUUAGUGAAAAAAAUAGUAUUUAAGAUUUUAAUGGAUGAACAAAAAUGGAGAUUUCUUUUGGACCUUUGAAAGAAGAAUAAAAGAAAGUUGAGUGGUACUUGCUGAAACGAGAAGAGAUACCUCUAGGUAAAUCUAGAAGAUGAAAAGUUAAAACCAAAAUAAUAAAUAUAAAAUAAAAAUAAAAUAAGUGGCUAAAUUGAAACCGGUAACCAGGAAAAGAACAAAAAAAGAGGGAUGAGGUGGCUUAAUAUUAUUGGAUGUGUUUAAAGAGAGUGUGACCCUAGCAUUCCUCAUGCAAAAUUGUUGAAUAACUUCUUCUGAGAAAUAUACUUUACAGAAAAAAGAGGAGUGUAUUGAGAAACUUAUAGAGACCAUCCUGUCCUACACUUCCAUAAAGGAGAACUUCAUUGUUAACCUGAGAUUUAACAACACAAAAGUCAGGGUGAAAUUCAAAGAAAACACUAUUGUCUUUAGCAAAUUUGCUGACAUUGAUCAAAAUCUUAGUUCUUUAUCAAAUUUGCUGACACUGAUCAAAUUCUUAGUAAUGGAUGGAACAUGCAGAAAGUUAUGCAGAAAAUGAGACGUAAUAGACUGGGAAGGUGAGUUAAACCGAGAAGAGCCAGAGGAAUGAAUUUUCAAAUCUUGUCCAUUCCCUAUGAAGAUCUGAUCUGGACCUUCAAAGGGAACACACUGUUGGAUACUUUGGGAGUUGUUUGUGACAUGGAAAGGAGGCACCCGAGUCAGGGAACCAAGCUGAGCUAGAAAAUGGUGUAGAAUUGGUGAGCAAGGCAUUUCGUUGAAUGGCAAAGGGUGGCCUAGGCUGGUUUGGAGGGCGCAUCCAUCUGUUUGCAAAACCAUUAGGAGAAAAAUUACCUUGAGAGGGAGAACCUUGAGAAUAGCCUUGGUACAUUUGGAAAUCAGCAGGAACAGGGGCUUGAUACUGCUGAUUGAAUCGAUAAUAACACAUUGAAGCAAUGUGACCAAAGCGAAAGCACACCUGGCACUGAAUAUUACCAAACCUGCCACAGCCGCGACGUCUGCCUCCAUGACCACGAAAACCACCUCCAGAGCCCAAGUUACAGAAAAUAGAAUCAGAACCAUCCAAAUUCGGUGUAGAAACCAGAUUAGCUUGUGUAGAGCUUGGAUCUGAAGGGAAAGAUGAUGGAUGAACCUGAGGUUUGGCUCGUGUAGAGCUUUGACAGUAUUCGGUCAUGGUUCAGAACCAGAACUCUAUGAUACCAUAGAAAAGAGAGUAGAGAAUUGUGAUCUCGAGUGUAAAACUCAGUGUACAAGAACUUAUAUAGGGUUCUUAUCCUACACCAACCAAGGAGUCAACCUAUACCCCUGUAACUAAAGUUCAGACGAGUGUGAAGUGAACUGCUUCUACCUGAAACUGCCACACUGGCAGAAUAUUCUUGACACCUGUAAACUAACUUUAGAACAUUCCAGAAAGGCAGAAAAGAAAGGCAAACAAAAAGCUACAUAAACUGAUAUACUCGUACAAUACUGAUUAUUAUGAGUAUGAUAGAUGAGAGAAAAUGUUAAAAAAGUAAUUUUUAUAAUUUUGAACAAACACAAAUUAGCUUAUACUUCACAUAAAAAUCUCAAAAAUCAAUAAUCACUUUUUUAUACAAUAUAAAAAACACUUCUUUUAAUCCUAAUGAUUGGCUGUUUGUGUCGUUGUUAUAGUUAAUAAAGUUGUAUUCAUAUCGUUCUCUCUCUUUUAUUCUUUCAACAUCAGAUCAUUUGGCGGCGUAUUUACUUUCCUCCUUAUUGUUAAUAUUUAUCACUAUUUAACCUAAUAAACAAUCCAGUAAGAAAAAAGAACUUUAUAUACAAUCAAAGCUUCAUAAAUAGUUUUUCUACUAUACACUUUGGUACCUGUUGCCAUUUUUCUACUAUCACUAUUCUCCUUAUUGGCAUUUUUCUUCUAAAAAUACAUGUAAUAGAUGCUACUUCUGCUGGUUUUAGUUGAAAGUUAAAAAAUUUCUCAGUUUAUCUAUCUAUAUUCACUCAAUCGUUUUUUUUUCCGCAGCAUUGUGCAAGCAUAAAUUGCUUGGCUGUACUUAAGUCCGCAGCAUCUGAUGGGUCUGAUUAUCUUUUCACUGGAAGCCGUGAUGGCAAGCUAAAAAGGUGGGCACUGGCUGUGGAUGCAGCGACAUGCUCUGCGACCUUUGAAUCUCACUCAGAUUGGGUAAUCCUCAUCUAUCUAAUCAAAAUUUUAACACACACUGUAACUGUGUCUGGUGACCUAUGGUUUAUUAAGAAUUACCUCAUGAACACGACAGUGAUUAUUUUCUAGGGUUAGUGAUGAUGCUUUAGCCACACUACCUCCCCCCUAUAGUCUCCAUCAAUUUCCUAAGAUAGAUUGGUAAGUGAAUUUCAAGUUAAAUAUCUAGUAAUUUUAUUGCUUAAUUACCAACUUUGAUGGUCAAGUUAGAAGAUACAUAUGAUGCAGCACGGGAAAGCUAUUCACUAUGCUAUGUGCAAAUUAUAUUACAUUCUUGGGAGCCUAGCAUACAGCAGAUGGACCCUGUAUGUGAAGCGCGAUUGAGAUGAAUAUUAUUUUCCUAUUUCUAGUCUUUUAUCAGAGGUAGUCUGGAGUUAUAAGUUCAGUUGAUAUAAAAUUUUAUUCAUAUAUGUUAGGAGUUCUUAGAAUUUGGGUUUAAGGACUCUCAAUCCCAUAAAACGAAUUGUAAGACGAGGUCUAUCGAAGCUUGUAAGCACUCCCUAGGCCAUCUCUACGGGAGUACAGUCUGUGGAACUCUCCCCCCCCACCCACACACUCAAGAUUGGACAUAUGAAGUAUAAGAUAAUGUGGGUUGAAUAACAAGGAUAUCAACACCCCCACAUUUCCAAGAUUGGACAUAUGGAGCGUAGAAAAAUAUGGAUCCUGUCUCAGGCUCUCAGCAAUAUAAUUUGGGCUUAAGGCUUAACUCAACCCUAGAAAACAUGCUUGUAAAGGGAGGACUGUUGAAGCCUUAUAAGCAAGGUUAUCAAGAUCUAGAUUUAAAUUGUAAAAUCUUACAAUUUAGCGGUCCUACUCACCCCCUACGAUUUGAAUCGCGCGCAAGAUCCCUUUUUUGUGCAAGAUCAUAGCAAAAUUGUUUCUGGCUCGAUUCUGUUAUUUUCUUGGGAUUGAAGUUACUCAGUCGCACGCAACCGUUGCUAUUUCUCUGUGAAAAUAUGUUCUCUAUAUCUUGGAAGAGACGAAGAAGCUUGAUUGUAAACCAAUUGAUACUAGUAUGGACCCAACAUGAAACUUCUAAAUCAAGGGGAGUCAUAUGUAAGCCAAACAAAUAUAUGAGAUUAGUGGAAAAAUUGAACUAUCUCACCAUGAUCAUACCAAAUAUCUCAUUUGCUGUCGGCGUUGAGUCAAUUUUGAAACUUACCUAUAGCCAACUAACUAAGCUUUUUAAUACCGAGUUUUUUUUAUACCAACUAACAUCAUAAUUUAUGAUACAUGCAUUGAAUAACAGCUUAAGGUAUUGUUACAUAUAUUAAAGUGUUUUUUGAACAGGUAAAUGAUGCGGUUCUUGUGGGUGAUAGUACACUUGUUUCUUGUUCUUCAGAUACAACCCUUAAGGUUGGUUGAUUGUUAAUUUGUUGUAAUCAAUCUCUGUUCUUCUAAUAUGAAAGCAGUACUGAUAUGAUUGUUAUUCGUUUUUGUCUGAUUUAUGUUUGUGCCAGACAUGGAAUGCUUUGUCCACAGGAACAUGUACUAGGACGCUCUGCCAACACUCAGAUUAUGUUACUUGCCUUGCAGCAGCUGAAAAGAAUGUAAUGUUGUUGGAACUUCUCAUUCUUCUUUUUUAAGUGCAUCAAGAAAAUUUCCAUUCAACCCAAACUUGGGUUGGCCGGGUGGUGUUGGCUUGGUACCUUGGAGUAUGCUCCUCCUCAAGGUCUCAUGUUUGAUUCUCCCCGGUGCCAAUUUGGGUGGGCUAGUUUUGCUUCUUCAAAAAAAAAAUAUAUUUUCCAUUCAUAUAUUUUCCGUGUUCAUCAUUGAAUCUGAUAGAUUGUUUGAUUCGAUUUUAAGUUUGAAUCUUAUCAAAUCCAUUUUCUGAUCCUUUAAUAGUGUCGUGAAUUAAUAGAGCAAUAUUGUUGCCUCGGGUGGCCUUGGCGGGGAGGUUUUUAUAUGGGAUAUUGAAGCUGCACUUGCUUCAGCUACAAAGUGCAAUGAGGCUAUGGAUGAUGAUACUUCAAAUUUUGUCAAUAGUUCUGGCAACUCAUUGCCAAUGACUAGCUUGCGUACCAUUGGCUCUAGCAACAGUAUAUCGAUGCAAGCUCAAACUGAAGUAUACAUUCCGGUUACUGCCAAAGGCCAUAAGGAAUCUGUUUAUGCAUUGGCAAUGAAUGAAGGUGGAACACUUCUUGUUUCUGGUGGUACAGAAAAGGUACUACGCGACAUCCAUGUCUAUGUUCUAACUGUCUGUGGCUUCUAUUAUCACCUUAGAAUUUUAAGGGGCAUUUAGUUUAUAUUUAUUUGCGCUAGCUUGAUUAUGGAUUGUUGUCUCUACCAUUAGCAUGAUUUAUUUUUGCUUUUAAUUGUUUCACUUAUCUAGGUUGUACGUGUUUGGGAUCCAAGAUCUGGAUCAAAGACUAUGAAGCUAAAAGGGCAUACAGAUAACAUUAGGGCUUUGCUUCUGGAUUCUACUGGCAGGUUUGUUCAGUGGUCUUAAAUUUUUAGUUUACAAACUUUACACACAACACACACACACAUGUGUGUGUGUGUGUGUAUAAUUAUAUAUAUAUAUAUAUAUAUAUAUAUAUAUAUAUAUAUAUAUAUAUAUAUAUAUAUAUAACUAGGGGAAAUGCACAAACCACAGGUUGCUAGCACCUAAAUAGCACCCAAUGAACCUGCACACCAGAAGAAAAAAAUAAAAACAAAGCAAAAGAAAUGGCCACCCGAAGAUUCCCCGGCAAACCAAAUGAUUUUUUAUUUUUUUUGUUUACAUAAUGAGUUUUUUGGUCAGUGGUUAGAAACCAUGUUAACCCAUAUGAAAAUAUAAAUAAAAAAUCAAAACAAGUGAACAUUGAAAACCAUGUUCAGUGGCUUUGAGUUUGAGUCUGUUGGUCUCCAGGGGCGGACCUGGACUCACAAUAUUAGUGAGGCUAAUUUUUUUUGUCAAAUACUUAAAAAAUACUAAAUUUAAUAAGAAAUUAUAUUAAAAAUAGUUGUAGCAACCAAAAUUAGAUGAUCAAAUUAAAUUGACAACCAUAUUGACCUUGCCAAAAAAACCACCAACAUUUGUAUGAGUCUUAGCACAAGCCACAAGUGCCAAUUGAAAUUGAUGAGCGAUGGGUGAAUGCUGAAUGGGCAUGACCUUGAAAAUGGUUAAAAUUGGUGUUUUUUUUUUUUAAUAAUUUGUAGGCGUAUUGGUAUAAUUGUUGGGGUGCAAGGUAAAUUUUACUGUGUUUUGAGAAAAAUCAGGAGAGAAGGUGUGUGUAAUACUGAUGGGCCGGGUUGACUGGAGUGGACAGAUAAAAAAUAAAAUAAAAAAUUGGGCCUGGGCUGGUGUGGCUAUUGCAACACCCUGUUUUGAACAAAUGGUUGUUUAUUUAUUUAUUUAUUUAUUACUUUAGACAAGUUACUCUUUACAAACAUUAGAGUUAGAAUGUAUUUAUGAACUACCCCUAUCUCUUUCUUUUGUCGUUUUCCUUUGGCAUUUCUAUUUAUUGCCACAAGAUAUAAAUAACCACAGCAUAAAUAGCAUGCAGUAUAAACCCCUAUUUUCAUCCUCUGAAAAUACAAUACAAGCAUCAUCAUUUUAGCACUCAAUAUUUUUUUCGUCAUUUAGUCUCAAUAAUCGAAAGUGUAAUCAUUUUGGUCCUUUUGUUAACUUAUAUUCGAAGACUAGUCCAGUAUCUGCUUGUCAUGUCAUUGCCUAUCAGACAGCCUUCUAAGUUAUAUUAUGGUAACCAAAAUAAUGGCAUUAUUGAGGGGACAUUUGAUGGCAAAAUUCUUGUAAGAACUGAAUCACUGAAUUGAUGAUACUUGUAUCCAUGGACGUAGAGGAUGAAAAUGCUGAUUACUAAGACUGAAUAUUUCAUAGGCCAUGUUUCAGUGGGUAGCUAUUUAAUGGGUAAUAGUAUACUGAAUUUUAUUUUGGAACAAAAUGGAAUAGUAUACUUUUGUGAGGACUGAAUUACUGAAUUGACGAUGCUUGUGUCUUUAGACUUAGGAUUAAAAUGAUGAUUACUAACGCUUAAUAUUUCAAUUGCCAAUGUUCCAAGGGUUGCUAUUUGAUUGGCAAUAGUAUACUGAACGGAAUGCUGUCUGGUUUUCUUUAUCGUUGCAUAUACAUAUUAUCAUUUCAUAAGUUAUGUUAGGUUGAAUUAAGUAAUACUUUUUUCUUCCUACAUCAGCUGAGAUGCUUAUAACAUUUAUCUUUGUAGGUUUUGUUUAUCAGGAUCUUCAGACUCUAUGUUAAGGUUGUGUAUUUUCUUUUGACAAUAAGAUGGCGUGUGGUGUUAUAGUAAUUUAUAUUGUUUGUUAUAAGCUUGACAAAUUUCACACCUUUCCUUGUAGGCUUUGGGAUCUCGGUCAGCAACGUUGUGUGCAUUCAUAUGCGGUUCAUACAGAUUCUGUUUGGGCUCUUGCUAGCAACUCAACGUUUAGUCAUGUUUAUAGUGGUGGUAGAGACUCUUCUGUGAGUUCAAUUUUUCUUUAAAAAUAAAUUGACUAUUUUAAUUAUUGUGACUUGAAUUUCUGUGACGUAUUGUUUUACUGUUUAACCUGUGUGGUCAUCUUCUGACCCAUUAUUUCCAGUUAUACUUGACAGAUUUGCAUACUAGAGAGAGUGUUUUGCUUAGCACUGGGGAACAACCAAUUCUUCAAUUGGCUUUGCAUGAUGAUAGCAUAUGGGUUGCAUCAACGGACUCGUCGGUUCACAGAUGGCCUGCUGAAGCAUGCAACCCUCAAAAGAUUUUCGAAAGAGGCAAUUCUUUUAUAGCUGGAAAUUUGUCAUAUUCAAGAGCGAGGGUGUCUCUAGAAGGAUCUACCCCUGUAUGUUAUAUUUAUGGUUAUUUCUCGAAAAUAUUAAUUUUAUUAUUGCAUCUACUAAGUGUUGUAUUGCUCUGGGAAUACGUCAUGCUGGUUGCAUAUGCACAUGUAAAGGUGAAAUAUAUUUGUUUAUUUGUCUCUCUUCCAAAGAAGUUUCUCUCCAAAUAUAAAUGUUCUUUUGAUUAGGUUCGUAGAACAGAUACAAUAGGAAGAGAAUAUAUUAAUCUUAUUUGAUUUGAUAAUACACAGUAUACAUUAGGAUUGCAGAGGAAAGGAAAUAAAACAGAAGGAAAUUAAAUCAUAUUAGAGAUAAAGGCCAAGCUGUCUUAAUAUUGUUAGUAUAUCUGAUUUCAUAGCUUGAAGCCACUCAGUAGUUUUCAUGUCCAUUUUUGUAACAGAUUCAGGGAUAUACUAACAAUAUUAAGACAGCUUGGUCUUUAUCUCUAAUAAAUCAAAUCCUAAUAAUCUUAACUCUGGAAAAUAUCUAAACUGAUAACAAUUCAAACAAACCUCCCCCGAUUUCAUCCCUUUAUUACAGGGGUUGCCAGCAUAUUAUUUUCACAAUAUUAACACAAUAAUAUCCCUGAAUCUUUUUAUUUCAACAGAUUCUUUCUGUUCUGGAGCAGGGCCACUAAUAAUUUUUCUUUUGGUUGCCAUUCAAAUAUUAUCAAUAGGUUCCUGAAUAUAAACAGCCUAUCUUGACUAUUCCCGGCAUCCCUGCAAUAGUACAGCAUGAAGUUUUAAAUAAUAAGAGGCAUGUGCUGACUAAGGUAAUCAUGGUGCUUUGUGUUUGUGUCACUAUGCCAAGUAUGUUAAUACUGUCACAUGUUCUGUUGUAUAGUUAUCUUCUGAGCUGAUAAAUGGCUUCUUUAUAGGAUACUUCUGGUUCAGUGAAGUUGUGGGAAAUCACGAAAGGUAUUGCAAUUGAAGAUUAUGGAAAGGUGAGAAUUGGUUUUACUUUCACUUGUUAAUCUGCACGGAAGUCCUGUUUGAUAGGGAAAAAACCUUAGUUGCACUUAUUAUUAUUUCAAAGUUCAACUGUAGCCGACAAUAUCAUUUGUUAGUUCAAAAUAGCUAAUACUUUACAUGUGGAUUAUAUAGGUACCAUUUGACAAGAAAAAGGAAGAGCUAUUUGAGAUGGUAUGAUUGCAUGUAUUCAUCAUCAUCAAUUCUUUUGCUUUUUGAAUGACACUUGUUUUAUAUAUAUUAUUUUUUUUGUUAUGGUUGGUUUAUAUUUUAUUUUCCUACUACUUCAGGUUAGCAUUCCUGCAUGGUUCACAGUGGAUACUAGACUUGGAAGUUUGUCUGUGCAUUUGGACACUCCCCAGUGCUUUGCUGCAGAGAUGUAUUCACAAGAGCUUAACAUUGUAGACAAGCCUGAAGAUGAUAAGGUAAGUUAAUGUAUUUUCAUAAGCAAUUUGUAUGCCUUUUUCUUGUAUUUCUUAUCUUUUGAUAUUUUCCCUAUUUUCAAGUCUUCGGUAUGUUAUUAUCAGUGUUGUCAAAUGGCGGCCCAUGGCGUGGCGGAUUUUGGGACAAAAGCCAUAGGCAAUUUGUGAACAGAUGCUCACCGUGGCUGCGCCACAGGCCACCGUGGCGCGUUUAUAUGGUGGAGUUUUAGCCUUCCCCCAUCAACAACAUUAGUUAUUGGCUGUAACAAAUAAUACUCACUUUAGAUACUAAACAUUGUUCAUUCUCCUUUUGUUUUGCAAGUUACUAAUGAAUAAUAAAUUUACAACGUCCAGUUCAUUUAUCUGUUUACGUCAUUCAUCUUGGGAUCCAUUACCGUCAGUGAAACAUAUUGACGUUAUCUAAUUUUACUUUGUUCUUUUUCAAUCCCAAUGAUGCCAUGUUGCUAUAAUCACUGAUAUGAUAGUAUUUAUUUAAAAGUCAUAUUUCUGUCAAGCUACUCUAUUAUAUGCUUCUACAGUUUUAUUACGUCGGAGGCAGCAUUUUGAAAAUUAUUGCACACCAAAAUCAAUGCUUAUACAUACAUGCAUGUACAAAGACAAACACACAUAUAAAUGAAAUACGGAAGCAGCUAAUGACUCUUCCUUUUACUCUACAGAUUAACUUGGCUCGAGAAACACUUAAAGGACUCCUGGCUCAUUGGUUGAGAAAGCAAAAGCAAAGGAUGGGAACUCCUGCUUCUGCUAAUGGGGAAUUAUUAUCUGAAAAUGAUAUUGGUACUAGAAGUCUUUCACAUUCAAGAAUUGAGGUUGAUGGAAGUUCUGAGAAUGAUACUAUGGUUUAUCCUCCUUUUGAAUUCUCAAUUGUUUCCCCUCCUUCCAUUAUUACCGAGGGAACUCAUGGAGGUCUGUGGAGGAAAAAGAUUACAGAUUUAGAUGGAACUGAGGAUGGUAAAGACAUCCCCUGGUGGUGUGUGGACUGUGUAUCGAGUAAUCGGUUACCUCCUAGAGAAAAUUCCAAGUAAUUUUUUGUCUUCAUGUUUAUUGUUCUCUCUAAAUUGUUGCAUGUAGCCCAUGCUUUUAGUAGCAAGAGUGAAAGAUUGCUCGUCUUGGGUCAUGGCAAUUUGCAUUUAUUGUCCUAGCAUGAUCGGAAUAUUUCGGCAAUCUUAUUUUCGUAUUAUUAUGGCUCAAAGCAACAUAUUCAGCAUGUUCCGAUGUUUUAAAGAUCCUUUUUUCCUAGUCUUCUGUGUAAGAACUUAACUGACUCUUGAUAGUUAUAUAAUGAUUGUACACUAUACACCUCCCAAAAAAAAUAUGGUGGCACUUUAAUAUAGCAAUUAUGAUGGAAAUCAACUUGUUAUUUUAUUGAGUUGUACUGGAGUGCUUCCUACUAGUCAAGUGGCAUUUGUCGUUUGGUUUAUGUAGUUCUUACAGUAUCUUUCAUCAUUUUUUGCUUUCCUAAAUGAUGAAUUUAUUUUCUAACUUUUUUACACUGGGAAAAAAGUGGAAGAAUACUUAUGGUUUGAGUUUCUUACCACAGUUGUAAUUUUAUAUUUCUGGCAACCUCUGAUUAUUAAUCUUGGGUCAGUUAUAUUCUGUUAUCUCUAAUAUAGAUAUUUUUAUCUUACCCUUUGCAGAUGCAGUUUCUAUUUAUAUCCUUGUGAAGGCUCUAAUGUUCAGAUCCAUACUCAAGGGAAGCUAAGUGCUCCACGUAUAUUAAAAAUUCAGAAGGUAAGUUUUAAUAUUUCAUAUUGACGAAUGGUAAAUAAUAGUUUCAUGUGCUUUUCCAGUGUUCUUUUGAAAUUUUCUUCAUUUCUAUAUGAAAAGAAAAUGUCUGUAGCAAGAGAACAAUGUGCUGAUCCUUUUUCUUUGAAGCUAUAAUUGCUUUUGACAUCAAAUUGAAGACAUUACCAUUAACUUGCUGAUAAAUCUGUUUUAUCUAUAUAAAGUUGGCUAUUGAGUUGAGCUUAACUCAACCGUACAAAUCCGGUAUGUAAGACAAGGACUGUCCAAGUCUCAUAAGGACUUCAUCAAUAUCUUUGGUAGGAAUUUGGGCAACCUUCAUAGGCAAUUUGUGAAUGAAUGUUCACCAUGGCGGCGCCAUAGGCUGCAAUGGCCUGUUUAUUCGGCGGAUUUUUGGUUAUCCGCCAUCAGCAAUGCUGAUAACACCACUUCUCACACCUAGCACCGAAUAUCGAGAGCGUGGACAAAGAGAGCUUCUUUUUCCAACCCUAGGUUUCUAAAAAACCACACACCUGAUCUGUCCGGAGGUAUACUUUCGGACGGAAAAAACUGUUUUUGUCCAAAAGUAUACUUCCAAACGACAUAAAAACUGUUUUUUUUUCUUUCCGGAAGUAUACUUCUGAAGUGACUUUGGCGGUGGGAAAAGAAACUCCUUGGACAAAUGCAUGUUUCCAAAUAACAGACCCGAUCUUCCGGAGGCAUACUUUCAGACGGAAAAAACUGUUUUUGUCCAAAAGUAUACUUCCAAACGACAUAAUAACUGUAUUUUUUUUUCUUUUCCUGAAAUAUACUUCCGAAGUGACUUUGGGGGUGGGAAAAGAAGCUCCUUCGACAAAUGCAUGUUACCAAAUAACAGAUUUAGAUUAGGUUUUGAUACCAUCUUAGAAUAUAUAGGUUGAACCUAACUCAACCCCACAAAACCGGCUUGUGAGGUAAUGAAUGACUCUAAACGUUACAAUAACUACUUAUGCCAUAUCUCUAAGUUGGCGUCACAACAACUUUGUUUAUUUUAUCGUGGAAUAUGGAAAAGGAUGUAGAGUUCUCAGUUUCGUAUGCUGGCAAGCCUCAACUUGCACGGUGGAGAGCCCAUGUUUCAGAUUUCUCUGUCAGGAACUAACUGAUGAGAGUGUUUUUCUAAUAGUUUAUUGUUAUCUUUCUGACUAAGACAGCUGAAAUAUAUGUUUACCUCCACAACUGAAGCAGCCCAACGGAUAAAUAUUUGACCUCCAAAUAUUAUUUCACCUAUAACUAUCCCUCUAAGUGUUGUUAUUGGCGUUUUCCACCUAUGUCAAAGAUGCCAAAUCUUGGAUGUUUUCAAUACAGGACAAUUUAGACAAAAAUAUGAAAUUAGGGUAUUAUAACAAUUUUGGGUUCCCCUUUUUCGUCAAGCAUGCCAAUGAGAUAAAAAUAUCUUGAUAUGGGAAUAUUGGAAUUGUGGAAUUUUCAUAUCUGAACAACUUAGAUGCUUAUUAUAAUUUUGGGUUAUGAAAUUAUUAUUAUAGUUUGACUUUGAAAUUAUGGUUACUCGGAUAUCUAAUUUGUUUAUACAAUUUGUACAUGUUUGGGUUAUUCGGAUGAAAUUAUGGUUAUGCCUAGACUUAGAUUUGGAAUUUAAGAUUGCAAUCUUGACUUGCCGUUCUCGCCCUCCCACUUCCAUCUAUUGUCAUUUUCAUCCUACAGCACUUUCUUUUUGUUCUCUCCUCCAUAGCUUUUCUUUCCACCCCUCUCAUUAUAAGUGUUGACAUAUUCGCCCGUUAGAAGUCGUUUUACACCUGCCCACUUUGUAUUAUAUGCUCAAAGUUAUGGAUUAAUUUUGGUCAUUUACUGAAAUAGAUUUUGCAACAGUUGAGGUUACUAUAGUUUUUCCAUUUGGUCGUUUUAGACAGUUUAUUCUGAGGUCUCAUGUUGGCAUUUCUUGCUAUAUCUGUUAUCAUCAAAAUGGCUUAUGUGGGAAGGACCGAGGAAGGCUGUGAGCGGGAAAACAAAAAAUUAGCGUUCGAAUUUAUCGACUGUUAUAAAGUGCAGCGAAGACAUGUAUUUGAUAACAUAGUUGUAGAAUUUUUAGUUCUAUUCUGUUGAUAAAAAACUUCAAUAUACUCCCUCCGGUCCUUAAUAUAAGAAGAAAAAAAAAAAAAAACCAUCAAAACCAAUGCCAGCAUUAAUUGUUGUAACUUUUUAAACAUUUUUACAAAUAUACCCUUAUAGAAUGUUGUGAAACAUUAAAUACAUCCCACUAAUAUUAAAAAGACAGACAUUAAAUGAGGGAUAAAAAAGUCUUUUAAGCAAUAACUAUCCUUAAAAGUUGUGACAUUUUCUUAUAAAUAGGACCAAAACUUUUUUUGAAAAUUUUCUUAUAUUAAGGACCGGAGGGAGUAUUUUGGUUGAUUGCUUCGGUCGCCUGUCACCACAGAGUUAUAUUCAUGGUUUUAUAGUUCUUUGCUCUGUGCUGUGUAGUUGACCAUGAUCAUACUUUCCAAAAGGAUUCAUUGCUUUGUUUAUGGAUAAAUUUUAUAGGCUAAAUUUUCCCAGCUCAACGAUGCAUUUAUUAAUGAUGAACUCAAUUUUUUUUUUGGUCUAGGUUAUUAAUUAUGUUAUAGAAAAGUUGGUGCUUGACAAACCUUUGGAUAGUGUCAAUGCCGAUGGUAGUUUUCCCCCUGGUAUUGCUGGAUCACAGCUACAGCACCAAACAGUUGGGGAUGGAUCUUUCCGAUCUGGCGUUAGGCCUUGGCAAAAAGUUAGACCUUCUAUUGAAAUAUUGUGCAACAAUCAGGCAAGUUAUAUCUUCUUAUCAAAAGAUAGUCUUAUGACACUGUAUGUAUUUAGUUUUUUAAAUGAUGCCAAGAUUGAGCAAGUUCAUGCUUAUGUUUUUUAUAGUUGGCCUUCUUUCAAUUUAUGCGUAUGCAUUUUAGAAUCUGUUCACUUAUCGUAUGGAGAUUUUUGGUUACCACACUGUUGUUUCCAGCAAGUUAUUAAAAUUUAAAGACAUAAUUCCAUUCGACCUACUUCCAUUGAUGUUUUAAAGCUACAACUUUUAUCAGCUUCUAAUAUCCACGGCACAGAAUUACUUGAAGAAGUCGUUGUCAACAGCUUUGAAAGUGUUUUGAUCUAAUUAUCCUGAAAACCAGUUUAUAUAUUAUACCAGUUUAUACACACGGUACCUUGAAAUGAUCAGGUUAAAAAUGUGCUCUUAUUCAACAGGAAUAAUACUUGGCAGAAACUUUAUUCAACUUCUAGGAUAUUUCACUUGAUGUGAUGAGAUGAACAGAUCAUGAUAUAAUUAAGAUAAUAUUGAGAUGUUAUAUUUUAAUAUAGGGUCUUGUUAACUUGUGCCCUAAGGGCACAAGAUAAGAAACUAAAUGUAGAAACUUAAUCUUGGAAAUUUUGCAUUCAUAACCUUAAAAACUUCAAAACUUAUAUUUUCAAUGCAAUAUUUAUUUUUAAAUUCUAUUUUAAGAUCCUUAUUUUGUGCCCUAAGGGCACAAGUUAACAUUUUCCUUUAAUAUAUCUAACAUAGCCAAGUUUUUUAAUUUCGAUUUCCAGAUAUUGUCUCCAGAAAUGAGUUUAGCCACAGUGCGGGCUUAUAUAUGGAAGAGAACAGAUGACCUAGCCCUACAUUACAGAGUAAUUCAUGGGAGGUGAUUGCAAAUGGCGCUUUCGUUGAUGGUGGUAUAGCAUCUUGAACUCUGCUUAGCUACGAAUAUAAUGCUUUCAUGACCUAUUUUCCUGCAUUUUUUCUUUCUUUUUCCGCUACCAACUGGAACAGGGAAGGAAGACCUUAGUUAAAUACUACUCUGCAAUCUUUUUUAUUGAUGCCUAUAUUGCUCCCCAAAUUGAGAAGGCUUUAAGCCAUUUCUCUGCAGCUUAGCUUCUGAGAAAUAUAGUGCGAUUAUGAAGCCUAAACUUUCUUUCAAUCUGUAGGAAAAUAUUUUUGCAUGUUUUGCCAAUGCUUAAAUGAUGAUCAUUGCCAUCACAAACAACUUUUGAAGAAUUUGGAUGGAAUGCAUAUAUACUCUCCUUGUUAUCCUUAUUUUUUCUUUGAUCAUUUUGCAGGUUUUCUUCUGAUUGAGUUAAAACACUUCUGAUUGAAUCUAGUCGGGUGCUUGAUUUGAUCAAUAGCAUUGUAUGAGAAUUGUAUAUUCUAAACUCUCAAUGAUAACCAAAUUUAGUAGCAUUAUUCAAACCUGCUUGAAUAGAUUUUGUGGUGUUGAAAUUUGUGACUAAUUUUAUUUUUUGAAUUACAUCUAGCUGGAACAUACUUUCAGUGGACAUGACCAGGACUCGUGAAUUUUGUGUCUGCAAGAUGAAGAGAGUUUUCUAAUUGGCUCUAUUGGGUAUUAGUGGGGAUCAUAUGGGUAGGUAGCAAAUUUAGGGAUGACAACAAAAAUAUUGUACAUUUGAUGUGUAUGUUAAAUACCUCAACGUAGAAAUUAUGUUAUUUUCCUUCAUAUCUUGUCUCUCUUUUUAUUUAUUGAUUUUUUAUAAAUUGGUUAUCAUUAAUUGCAAGCAUUAUGAUUCUCAUUUUCUUAAAUUUAGUAUCAGUUACCUAUCAUUUUCUGCUUAACUCCUGAGUUUAGAGCUCACAGCCUGCUGUCCUUGGUUGUAUUGCGCUCACAAUUGUAUUUGCCUUUUAUUCAGAGAAAUGAUAUUUGUACAACCAAUUUGUGACUGCUCUCUCUCUCAUACUCGCAUUAUGUUUUGACUUUAUCUCUAUUGUUUUGAUUUUCCGAUAAGUUCUUUAGAAAUCUAUGAUUGUCCGAUAAGUUGUCAGAUAAAUGGUUGUUCAAAUACUAACACUCUUCGUUUAUUUACGGUUAUUACUCUUACUCCUAUCUUUUUGUGCCAGAAAUGUGGAUUUGGAAACUGAAAUCACAAACAUAUGUGCACGCAUCUUGUUUAGCCAAAGUCAUGCAACAUCUAAACGUGCAAAUCAGAUUGAUAAUCCGUCAAUUGAGGUUAAUUUAAUUGGUAAGUUGGUUUAUAUUUUGCAAAGGCGUGAGUAAAUCUUGUCAAUACGAAAAAUUUGUUGGUGGAUAAUCUGUACACACCUCUGUUAGAGUCCUCUAAGCCUUGAGGUCUAACCCUUUAAUCUCUUGGGAUCAAAUUCACUUAAAAAAAAUGAGAUUGUUAAAGGGUAUUAUUUUUUUGGUAUAGAAAUAAAUCUUUUGGGUGUUUACCGACAAGAUUAGCCCUACAAAUUUGAUAAUUCAAACCAAAUUAAUUAAAUUGGUUUAUACAUUAAUUUUUUUUUUUCUCGAAGAAGAACAAAUUGUUGAUUUUGUAUUACUUUAUUAACUAUUCACUUUAGAAAAAACCAAAUCUUUCACAGUUUAUCGAAACAAACUAGUGCAGCUGAGCAAAAACUGUCGGACAAAGUAAUAGAUUCUGGACUUACUCUCUGGAGACUCAACAAAACACCAAGGGUAGGUGUUCCCAAAAGGUCAAACAAUAGGAAAACAAAUUAAAAACCAUGUAGUGAAACACAUUAUAAAAAGGAAAAUGCGCCGAGCAAAUUAUCAUACCAAGAAAGAUUAAAUCAAACGAGAACAAAUUAGAACUAUUGAUUAUGGUGAAGGUUAUACAUAUUUGGGAACAAAAUAGAAAAAGAUUCAGAAACAAAUCAUAAACACAAAAAUAGGAGAGUAAAAGAAAACGCAUGUGGAGGAUUGGUAGACCUCCACAUUGAAGAUUAAUAACAGUUGUAGAGAGAAAAUGCAGAAAUGCUGUGUUGAAAGAAGCUUAAUGAAGUAUUUUUGGCAGAUGCCGUAAGAAACUCUGCGUUUGCGGGUACUGUGAACUGGUGUCGUGACAAAGAAAAUGACCCACGUCGUGAAGGUCUAUAAGGUUGCGAGUGUGCACCCCCAUACAAGAGUUUUAGACUAGAGAGUUUGUGCCGCAUGCGUAGGAAAACUAAAUCAAAAUGACGUCGUUUUGUUGUCCUUUUUUUUUCCUUCCUCAAAUAGAGACUCCAAAACGAUGUGAUAAUUUUUUAUUUUUUUUUAAGGAGAGAAGUUACACAUAGUCUAACUAUGGAAAUGUCCCAACCGACUUGGUCAAUUUUUUCAAUUUUAUUAUUGGUUUUGUGAUAUAAGAGUUUUCAAGAUCAGUUAGAUCGAACACAAGUGUAGUUUCUAGUCCAUCAGACAAAUCUAACCCAAUUUUUAUUACUUUAUUGAUAAAAUAGAGCUCCCAAUUCAUAAACACGAAUUACCUACAUUUUAGUCUUGGUAUUAAAAAGGAGUUUGCUCAAAUUUUACAUUCUCUUCAUACUUAUUCUUAUAUUUUAAAAGCACAUGCAAUCCUAUGUUUUAAGUCAACUUAUUUUUUCUAGAAAUAAAAUGUCAACUUAUAUUUUAAUCUUAAUUUUUCUUAUUUUAUUUAAAGUCAACUAAUUAUUAAUACAACAGUCAAUGCUUUUUAGAUAUACUUUAUGAAAAAAGGUCCAUUGGUCAAUCUAUUUCAUCCCUCUUUUUAUCAUUCAUUCCAACAUAAAAUCAAGCAUUCUUCCCAAAUUUGGAACUUUAUAAAUUUUAAUGUGUGUCGAGAAAAGCGUGCAAAUUCAGGCACAAAGACCUUUCACGCAUGCAGCAUGACCUUCAAAUUCGAUUUCAUUUCAUUUUUAUGUAACAAAAAUUUUGAUUCCACUUUUUAAAGUAUUUUUUGUCUGGUUGCAAUUUAAUUAUUGCAGUUCCAUUAUGAAUCCAUGCUUCAACAUGCCAUUUCUUGGCCUAUAUAUGUGCCUAUAUAAAUCCACCAAUCUACAUGUAUCUAUUAAUUAUUAAGUUCAACAUUCCUUAACUUCCUCAACUACAAUUACUUUAUUUUUUCCCACAUUAACGUUUGUGUCAUGGAUUCUGGUCUCUGCUUAGUGUCUAGUCCAAACCAUCAAAACAUAGUUCAAAAUAAUUUCUACGACCCUUCUUGGUUACAAAAACAACGUAACGUUCCAAUGAACUUCGUUUGGCCAAAAGAGUAUCUAGUGAAUGCAAAUGAAGAGUUUCAAGCACCAUUGAUAGACCUUGAUGGGUUCCUUAAAGGUAAUGAAGAAACCACAAACAAUGUUGCAAUGCUCAUAUCCAAAGCUUGUUCAACUCAUGGAUUUUUUCAAGUGAUUAACCAUGGUGUUGAUUUGAGUCUCAUUGGUGAAGCUUAUGAUCAAAUGGAUGCUUUUUUUAAGCAACCAAUUGAUAAGAAACUUAUUGCUCGUAAGAUAAAAGGUUCAAUGUGGGGUUAUUCUGGUGCACAUGCUGAUAGGUUCUCCUCCAAAUUGCCUUGGAAGGAAACACUUUCUUUCCCUUUUCAUGAUAAUAAUGUCUUUGAGCCUUCUGUCACUAACUACUUUGACUCCACCUUGGGAGAAGACUUUCAACAAACUGGGUAAGACUAUAAUAUAAAUUAAUUUAUUGUGCUUUAUAUAUUUGUGUCCCAAGUUUUUUAUUUUAUGAAGAAAAAAAUAAUUUAUUUUAUUCAAAUAUAUCAUGAAAUAAAAGUCAUAAAAAUCGUCGGAAUCUUGCACAAAUGGUUGGUGUGUGCGUAGUGUUUGUUAGUGUUUUAAACCCUAGAGUAUCGAGUUUGAUUCCCGCUAACUGAUUUUUUUUUAAACCUUAUCAAAAAGUUAUGUUGAAAGUCCAUGAGAUAUAACAUGAAAAAUUAUUUAUAUGUGAAUAGAUAUUCAUCGCCUUAAUUACAAGUAGAUUUUGUAUCAACCUAAAUUUUAUUAUGAUAUCAAGAACUAAAACCUAUCGGGCCACUCGUUGUUGGGGCACUAAUUUCACAUGUUUUUAUAUCUACCACUACUACUCACACACAACAUAUAUGAGUUGUAAUAAUUUGUUAUGCAUCAUAAAUUGUGCAGAGUGGCAUUCCAGAAGUACUGUGAAGCUAUGAAGAAGUUAGGGAUGAAACUGAUGGAGAUAUUAGCUAUAAGUCUGGGAUUAGAUAGGUUCCAUUUUAAGUCCUUAUUUGAAGAUGGUUGUUCCAUAAUGAGAUGCAACUAUUACCCAUCAUGCCAAGAACCAAGUGUUGCAUUAGGGACAGGACCACAUUGUGACCCAACAACAUUAACAAUACUUCACCAAGAUCAAGUUGGAGGGCUUGAUGUGUUUGCUGACCAGAAAUGGCAGACGGUUAGACCUCGUUCAGAUGCAUUUGUUGUUAACAUUGGUGAUACUUUCACGGUAUGUAUGUAGGACCUUACUCAUAGCAUUACAUCAUAGAUUCAUAUGCAUAUGCAUGAUAAUAAUAAUUACAAAAUGUUAUUUUUUGUAUGCUUCUAUAUCUUUACUUUGUGGCUAUUAUGAUCCCCUUGCAAUCAAUCAACACUGACUGAGCAGAUACACAUUUAAGUACAUCAAAGAUUCUGCUUCUGAUCAUCUCAAAACCCUAAUUAAGUCUUAAUUUUCAUGUCAAAUUAUGAUUGAUCAAAUUACAAUGGUGAAAUUAUAAUAUAGGACAUGAGCAUUAUUGUUAGAUGUUAGUGAAAUUUUAGAUAAUCCUAAAUCGAACAAUAAUUAAUAGAGUUGACUUAAUUUUCAACCUAAUUUUAGAUUACAACUUCCUUUCCUUUUUUUUUUUUGGGUCAAAUAACUUUAGCGAACAAGUAAGAUAUCGGAACCCUAAAACCUCUGUAUAUAUUAUGUAAUGUCUCUACCGAAUAAGCAAAUACAACUCUCUUUCCCUUGAAAACAAGAGGAUUAAUACCAAAAAGGAUGUUAAAACCUUAUAUAUGACUAUAUUUUUCUUACCUGUGUAAUAUUUCAAUUAUCUACUAUUUUUUUUUUUAUUACUUCUCUAUUUUCCUAUAUGGUAUAGACAGAAUAUAUUACUGACUGAAGAAUCUAAAAAACGAAUAGGUGAGUACAAUUAAUAAAAAAAAAUACUCAGUUAAUAAUAAUGCAAGUUUAUCGUGAACAAUGUGCGCAUGUUCUUAUUAUGGUUAACUAAUACUAUUUUUUACUCAUGUCAAUCUCAUAAGAAUUCAACACCAAAUAAGUUUAUGAUUAACCUUCUUUUUUUUUUUGUUAAAGCAUAUGAUUUGACCUAGAGGUAUUUUUAUAGCAAAUCAAAUAACUUUAAAUUCAUCUAAAAGUUUAUAUUAAUUUAUAUUAUAGUAACUCUUAAUUUUGAAUAUAACUAUAAUUUCCUUCCUUAAAAAAAAAAACUAUAAUUUCCUAAAAUGUUAAGAAAAUUUGUAACUUCCCAUAAAAAAAAAAAUGAAAAUGUGUAACAAUAUGUCCAAGUAUUAUAUUGAUGUGUGUCUGUGUAUGUGUGUAUGACAUACUUUUUAUAUCAAUCAUCAGCGAUCUAAAAUUUGAGGGUUUUUCUACUAAAGUAUGAUUAGGGUGUAUAUCUUCUAUUGCUAAAUAUUCCCUAAAAUAGUACACAAGUGACUAUUUUAUCUUUUGAAAGAAAAAGCUUCAAUUGAGCCAAUUAGCAUGCUUUCUUUAAUCCUUAAAUAUGUGUUUUAUGUUAUAUUAUAGGGGAUAAAUCUGAGCUUGAGACUAUGUCCACCCAUCCUAAAGUCUCCCCAGUGUAUAUAAUAUGUUAUUGCAUUAUUUUAAUUUUUUUUUGUCAAACAUACUUUGAAAUGGAUAUUAAUAAAAAUGUUUUGUAUGUCAUGGUUCAAAAAAUGAUUACAAGUUAACAAACCAAAUGGUCAAACCUCAUGUAUUAGAACAUAUUAUUAUCUAUAUAUGCAUACAUUUGAAGCAACAUUUUUCAUCCUAGGCAGCAUAUGGAUAUAUCAUAUAGAUUAUAUGUUAUUAUUUUAUUCAAAUUAAUUAUUAUAGCAAGGCAGCAACCAUCACACAUCGUAAAUGGAUAAAAACACCGUUUUCAUGCCUCAAUUAUUUGGCAAACGAGUGAUGCAUACUAGUAUAGAUAGGAUGACAGAAAUAGACUGAACUUUCAAAUUGUAUGAACUCAUCAAGUUGCUCAUUGAAACUUAAUAAUUUGACAAAAGUGUCUUUAAUUUAAAAUUAUAAUUAUUUUUAGGUGUAAAAUUAUAAAAUGUUGGUUAUAUAUUAUUCCAAACGGUACAUUGUUUUAGUAAAUAUUUUGAAUUAAUUUUUAAAGUUUUGAAUGUCAAACAAGUCGCCGUACUUAUAUGAAUCCUAGCUAUUAUGGUAUGUUAUUUCUUUAUAUUUAAUUUAAUUAUUUUAAAGCAAAUUUAAAUUUUGAAUUAAUAGAAACCCAACUUUUUGUAUGUAUUGAUCAAUUUUCUUGCCAAAAAGCCUAUAUUAAGAAAUGAAAGGAGUACCACAAUUAUGUUUUCUUUGUUGAUAGAAUAUUUAUAAUUGGAAGAAAGAAAGUUUAUGUUUUAAUGAGAAGGUUUAUAAUUCAAACAAAAAUAUGGUUGGUUGGGAGUAAAGUUAGGAGACAAAUAAUUUGAAGAGUUUUUUGUAAGAUAUGUAAGUACAUUGUCACUAUCUAGGUAAAUAAUUUGGAUCAUAUUUAUACAUAUGAAGUUGGUUAAAAGACAAGGACCGUGUGUAUAAUUAAGGUAUGCAGGUGUACGAAUUCUUAACUUAUUUUGUUUGUUUAUGUAUAGGCAUUAUCAAAUGGUAGAUACAAGAGUUGCUUGCAUAGGGCAGUGGUUAAUAGGUACAAAGAGAGGAGGUCCUUAGCAUUCUUUCUGUGCCCAAAAGAAGACAAAAUGGUGAGACCCUCACAAGAUAUUGUGAGUAGAGAUGGGACAAAACAAUAUCCUGAUUUCACAUGGUCACAAUUGCUUCAAUUCACACAAAAUCACUACAGAGCUGACGAAGCUACACUGCAAAAUUUCACCAAGUGGUUACUAUCUUCCAAAAUUACAAACACUUUACCUUGAUUAACCAACAAAUUUUACUUAUUUAGAGGUUUAAAUGCAUUCCUUGUCGCCUUAAUUAUUGUUAGCAAGCUCCAUGUAUUCAUGAAUUAAUUGAACAUGGAGUUCCUCUUUAUGUAAUUGGAUUUCAUUUCUUACGGCACAUUAAGAUUAUAAAAUUCAAAAAUUGGAAGGAACUUUACGAUAUGCCGUGCUCAAAAUCGAGUAUUUUUUAGGUCAAAGAUGGGAUUCUAUCUUUUUUUUUUUCCUUAGUCUCUCCUCCGUUUAUAAUGUUCAUUCUAGACAACAUGAUGAUGAGCUUAGUAUAUAGAUAUCGGCCAAGCAUCCUUUGAUGGCUAUAACUAACUCGGCCAACAAAAGAUUUUAGUCCUCUAAACCUAGUAUGAUAUCUAUUCAAUAUUUUAUAAGGGUGUCCAAACAUGAGCUUAUAAGGGUGAAAUGCUUAGAAUAAUAAGUUCGGUUAUAAUUUGUAUUAUUUUUUUGGACCUGAUAACCGGGACUCCGAGACACUGGUUAAACAUACCAUAAAAGGGAAUUAUUACUAUAAAAGGAAACUGUUUUUGACUUUAUUAUAAAUUAAUUACACAAUUUCAAUGCAUUAACUACUAUAUAAUUUCCUUUUUAUAUUCUUAACCAGUGCCUCGGGGGCACCAGUUAACAUUUCUUUUUUUUUUUUUUUUUUUUUGUUAUAUCACUUUUGUAAUGGAGUUGGCUGACUCAACUUAAUGAAAAAAGUAUUCGAGUUGGCUGAGUCAACAAUGAUUAUAGCAUCAAGUUUUGAUUAUUUAGCAACUUAAUUAGAGUUUAAUCUGCUAGGUGAGAGUAGCCAUAAGUUAGAGAAAAAAGAUAAAAUUUAUCUCUAGUUUUAAUGUUAUAUAAGUGUUAGGGGCAAUAAAAUAAAUACAAAUUGUAUUUGUUUUAAAAUUUGAAUCAUCUCCCAUGAUACGAUGGUGUAUCAUUUUUUUUAUUUAGGACAACAUAUGCAACAUUUUUUUUAUACAUAAACAUUUUUGUUGCACUGCUAACUUUUAGAGAUAAUGCAGUUAUCCAUUCAUUUCAAUAUUUUUCAUAUAAAAUUGAUUAAUUUUUUUUUUUGGUAAUAUCGAGUAGGUUAUUAAUUUUUACCUUAUAUAUCAUCAAGCAUACAUUAUCAGCAAUAUGGACAUCAACACCUCGACCAUCAAUGGUGGUGAACUACUAAUGAGAAGGGGUAUCACAAGAUUAAUGUUCAUAUCCUUUGAAAUGUGAUCUAAACUUUACCUUGAAUCUUAUUUAUAAUGAAUUAGGUCUUUACCUAUGUUGUUUGUCAUUUUUCCUGCAUAGCCCACCGAGCAAGUGGUAAGUUGUUGUCGAUGUCUCCUCCAUCCAAGAUUAAGUCUCCAACAUUGAUUAAUUAAAUUCAUUUUCGUACCUUCUAUUUUAGAUUGCUUGGUAGAACUAACAUGUGUUGUGAAAGAUGUGGCCAUAACAAGUAAAAUAAGGCACCAAAAGACAGUUGUUUGCUUGAUGACAAACCAUGGUUCAAUAUACUUGUUUUUUAUUUAAUUAUAAUAACAAUUGAAUUAUUUAGAAGAGAGGGAUAGUAAGGAGGAGAAGGUUUCCGUUGUUUUUAUAUCAGAAAAUAACAGUUUGAGCAAGGUGGAAUAUAAGUUCAAGUUGUUGGAGAUUGUUUGGGGUUAAGAAGUUUGUUCAAGUUGUUGUGUCAAGCUUUGGCUAAGGAGCUCGCUCGUCUAAGAAGAAAACUAAUAAUAGAAAGAAUGAGAGUUAGUUUGUUUUAAAUCCUUGACUUAGCGUGUGUUUGGUUCUGUGGCGGUGAAAAUUGAUUUUGAUUGAAUUAAUUUUGUAGAAUUGAUUUUGAUCAAAAGUGAGUUAAGAGUAAAGUGAUUUAUGUUGGAAUGCUUCAUAGUAGAAGUGAUUUAUAUAAAAGAUGUUGUUUGGAUAUUUUGUGUCAAAAUUGCUUUUGGAUAUGUAAAUUAUCAAAAUGGAUUUUAACAUGUUUUAUAUAGAUAUUAAAUUUCAUUUUCUCCUUUAUUAGUUUAUUUUAUCCUUUAUUUAUUUUUGAUUAAAUUGAUGAUAAAAAUAUUAAAUUAGCAAACUAGCACAGACAAAUUAAUAUUAAAUUGAUGAAAAACAUAAAUAUUAAAAGGUAAUAACAUAGUGUCAAUUAAAAAAAAAACAAAAUAUAGCAUAACGUUUUUUUUUUAAAUGGAGACGUUGGUACACCAGUUUGUUAAGCAUAUUUGCACACACAUAUUUGCUAUUAUUUUAUUGCUUAUAAAAAAUAAUCAGGUGGCAUGCGUUUAAAAUCCCAUUUCCAAUACAAAUUACUAAUAAUAUAAGGCUAUAAUUAAAAAAAAAACAUAGGGAAUGGUAGUUAGGUAAUUGGGCAACUUGAACUAUCAAAAUCGAUUUACAUUGCCUUAGAAGCUCAUAUUUGUAGCUUCAAUUGGAAUUGAGUUUGGACCCAAGAAUUGAUUUAUAAAAAAAACAUCCAAACACUUGUUUAUCAAUAUAAACUCACUUUUAGGUUUUGUAACAUACGUUUUGUAAAUUUCACCGUGCAACCAAACACCUACUUUUUUUUUUUUGAGCAAACCAAAUACCUACUUAAAUCGUGACAAUCUAACAAUAAGUUAAAUUUGAUCAAUAACUAAAAAAAAUCAAAAGCGAUAAAUAUUACAAAUGAGUUUAAAUAAACAAAAGACUGUCUAUCAAUUUUAUUGUUAUUGUAUUUGUCAAUAUAUGAAUGCUUAAUUUAUUUACGAUGAUUGAUGGAGCUAAUUUGUGUAGUUUAAAACUUAUUGAUUUCAAUCUAUCGCAUAAAUAUACUCUUUUUUUUUUUGUUGACAGAGACAUAAUAUUUGCUUAAAGUGUGUAAUUUUUUUAACUAGUUUAUUAAUUAAAUCUACAUGCCUAUGCAUGCUAAACUUUUUUUUAAGUAAGCUUAAUUGAAACUUGCUUUAUAAGUACUCCACCAAAUGGACAUGUGCACGAAAAUCUCAACACCAUAUCUAUGGUUUAAUAGCUUGAACAAAUUCAAAGUAAAGAGAGGGUUUUUCAAUUUUUCUUUCUAGUGCAAAAGAAUAAUAGACAAAACUUAUUCCGUAAAAUAUUUUGGAUUAAUCAAGUUUUUGGUCCCUAUAAAUAUCUGCAGUUUUAUUUUUAAUCCCUAUAAAAAUAAAUCACACUUUUUAGUCCCUACAAAAUUUUCUGUUAGUGUUUUUAGUCCCGGUUAAAUUAAAAUUUGUUUAAUUAUGCUUAAACUUCUAAAUUUUUAAAAGAUUUUUUACAUACAUGUUCAUAACAUCGUAAGACACUCUUUUAUAAUUUUUUUUAGUUUUUUAACAUGUAAUGAAUUAAAUACGAGUUUUUCUAAAAACCAAUUUUUUCAAGAUUAUAUUAAUGAAAAUUUGGACCUAAUAAUAAAAUUUUAAGUUACUUUUUUUGCGGAGGAACUUUGUAUAAUAUUCUAAGUAUGUAUGUGAAAAAUAUGUUACAAAUUUAAAAGUUUAAGCACAAUUGAGCAAAUUUUUAUUUUACAAGGACUAAAAAUAUGUGUUGGUCCCUAUUAAAUUGAAAUUUGUUUAAUUAUACUUAAACUUUUAUAUUUUUAAAUUAUUUUUAACAGACAUGUUAAGAACAUUAUAAUAAUCUCUUUUAUAAAAAAUUAGAAUUAUUUAACAUGUAAUGAAUUAAAUAUAGUUUUUUUAAAACGCCAAAAAUUCAAGAUAAAACUAACGAAAAUAAAAUUUUGAGCUAAUUUAUUGUGGCAGAACCUUUUAUAAUGUUUUAAACAAGUAUGUAAAAAAUCAUUAAAAAAUUUAAAAUUUUAAGCAUAAUUAAACAAAUUUUAAUUUAAAAGGGACUAAAAACACUAAUGGAAAAUUUUGUAGGGACUAAAAAGUGUGAUUUAUUUUUAUAGAGACUAAAAACAAAACUGCAGAUAUUUAUAGGAAUCAAAAACUUAAUUAACCCAAAUAUUUUUGAUCGAUAAGAGUGUCCAAUUCAUUCAAAGAAUUCUCUCCCUCAAAAAAAAAAAAAAAACUCAAUUCAAAGAAUUCUAAAGUAUUUUAAAGAGAUUCAUAAUCACAGUUAUCCCUAUUAUAUUCAAUUUAUCUAAAAUGAUGAGAAAGAAUAAAACUUAGUGUAACUAUAGCUUUUUCAUAAUCACAUUAACUAUAGCUUUUUCGUCUAAUUUGAACUUGGAAAGUGGAAUAUUGCAAAAAGAUUGGCCUAAAUUAGUCUACCAUAUAUAACUCUACUCUAUACCCAGUAAAUUUCUUCUACUUCAUAUAUUUACGAGAUACUUGAUUAAUCACGUGCAAAAUUAUAAUUAAUGCAAUUGAGUAGAUGGUUAAUUUAAUUUAUGUUGAAAGUUAUGAUUAUACGAUGCAAUUGAAUUAACCACAAUUAUGAUCAUGAAUUGAAUUACACAUCUACUCAACCAAGCUAACCACAUUUUUUUUUUUUUUAACUUGUUAAGCAAGUGUCGCACAUGCGUACAAAAAGUGAGUGUUUGUGUUAUUUGGCAGAAUAUUUGUAUUUGGGAUUAUGCAGAAUAUAUAUUCACUGUUGAUAGUACCAUUCUCCAGGGUCCUUCACGGAACAAAGGUGGAGAACUAAUUCUUGAUUUGUACAGAACAUAAACCAUUUUCCAACAUUUGGAAAGAAGAAAAGACCACUGGUUACUGCUUUGCUUAGUGAAAUAUUCGGAUGCAGUACCUUUUUAAAAUAUGUGUAUCUUUCCAUAAUUAAUUUUAGGAAAGGGGUUCUGAUAAUCCGAAGUUUGACCGUGAUAUAAUGAAACAUUUUAAUCAACCACACACCAUUCAAAGAUUCAUUUAUGAAACAUCUUUUUAACUGCAAUAAUAUAAGCUAAAACACAACAUGCCAAAUAAAAGAUGUACCAAGCAUUUGUUCCAUGUCACACCUCUCCAAUUAGUGCAUGCAUGCAUCUGAUUCUUUCUACCCUUGCUGCCCCCUAAUAUGCUUCAAUCAUGAUAAGUUCAACUUUUUGAAAAACUAAUUAGUAAGUACAGCAUAGCAAAUUCAUCUCUAUCUCAGCCAUCACCUUGUUGAAUGAAUAUUUAUUCAUGUAGCAUGCUUUAAUUUAUUCUCUCUUUGAUGUAUUGUCACAAUUGUUGACGGAAUUUGAUACAGUAUUUUUCAAAGACAACAUUUAUCUUGAAUAAGAAUAUAAUCCAUAUUCAUGUUGAUUUUUUGUAAAGUAGAAAUAGCAUAUGAUUCUUUACAAUCAAUUUGAAUCUUUUUGUCUCUUAGAUAUUUAGAGGGAUCGUGGAGGCAUAUGGUUCAUAUAUGCCAAGUUCUAAUAUCAUUGUAUUUGUUCCUAUAUAAGGAGAAAGUUUAGGUAGAUUUUUAAUUGUAAGAUUUUGAUCUACAACAAAAGAGAUAAAGAGAGUUUAAGAAGUGAUAUGGGAGAGUAUGGUUAUGCAUACCGUAGCAUCUCGACUUACAGUACCAUAAGAAAUGGAAUACGUGAGCCUGCUGUUAUAAAACCAUUUGUUCCUUUCAAUCCCAAAAGUAAUAAUGGUAGUAAUUACUCAGAGGGUGCUGUUAACAGUAAAAAAAUUGUACCAGUUACUGGCAGGCCUUAUGAUGAGCCUGCAACAGAGAAAUAUCCCUCUUCAGAGGAUGAAUUUGAUGAUGAUGAAAGGCGUCGUCAAUUAAGCCCUGUUCAUAGCUCUCCGCGUAAAGUUGAUGUUCAGUUCCCAGCUAAGGUGCAGCAGAAUCAUGAAGGUAGCCAUGAUCCUCAAAGGUACGGGCCCAUUGUUGAUCGCGGUCGCCAUACACCACAGCCUAGUGCUGAUGGACGUAAGCCAAUUGGAGGUAGUACCGUUAACAACCAUAAUGAUAGUUAUGGUACUAAUUAUCCAUAUGGUGGUGACAGAGACGGACGCAAGCCAAUUGGAAUUAGUCCAAUUAAGAAUCGCAAAUAUGGUGGUGGUCCUAAUGGUUAUGGUGGUGCUCAUCGUGCAACAGCUAUAGGGGAUCCAAGUCCACAUAAAGACAGGCGUAAACCAAUUGGAGGUGGCAUAAUGAGUAGUGAUGAUGGCUAUAAUAAUGGAUAUGGUGGUGACAAAGAUGGACGCAGGCCGAUUGGAAUUAGUCCAGUAAAGAAUGAUAAAUAUGAUGGUACUAAUGGCUACGGCAGUGAUCACCGUGCAACACCUGUUGGGGAUCCAAAUCCCUACAAAGAAGGUCGUAAACCAAUUGGAGGUGGCAACCUAAGGAGUACUCAUGAUGGCUAUCAUGAUAACGGAUACGGUGGUGACAAAGGACACAAGCCAAUUGGAAUUAGUCCAACUAGGAGUAACAAUUAUGAUGGUCCUAAUGGGUUUGGCGGUGACCAUCGUGCAACAAGUGUGGGGGAUCCAAAUCCCUACCAAGAAGGCCGUAAACCAAUUGGAGGUGGCAACCUAAGGAGUACUCAUGAUGGCUAUCAUGAUAAUGGAUACGGUGGUGACAAAGAAGGACGCAAGCCAGUUGGAAUUAGUCCAACUGGGAAUAGCAAUUAUGAUGGUCCUAAUCGGUAUAGUGGUGACCAUCGUGCAACAAGUGUAGGAGAUCCAAAUCCCUACAAAGAAGGGCGUAAACCAAUCGGAGUAGUUAGCCUAAAGAGUACUCAUGAUGGCUACAAUAACGGUAAAGGAUAUGGUGGUGACACAGAAGUACGCAAGCCUAUUGGAAUUGGAAGUAAUAUUAAGAAUGACAACUAUGAUGGUCCUCAUAGGUAUGGUGGUGACCACCGUGCAGCAGCCGUUGGAGAUCCAAAUCCUUAUAAAGAAGGACGCAAACCAAUUGGAGUAGGUAGCAUAAGGAGUACUCAAGAUGGCUAUGAUAGCCCUAAUGGAUAUGGCAGUGACUACAACAAAAAAGAAGGAUACAAGCCCACUAGGAACGGCAACUAUGGUAACGGCUAUGGUAUUAGUAACCACAACGAUAAGCCGUUUGUAAGUAGUAGCAAUCCUAAAUAUGAUGAUGGUGAUAACGCUGCUAAUUAUUACAACAACAGAUCCAAUUUCAAUGGGCCAAAAAUUAAUUCAUAUUGGACUGCAGCACCAAGAAAAGGGACUCAAUUAAGCGAGCCAAUUCAUGACAUUGACAAGGCCAUGGAGUUGUUGAAGAUGGAAGCUGCAAAGCGUGAUCAACAACAUAGUCCAACUCCAGGUAAUGCCUCUCCUCGCUUUACUGACAGGACUGGUUCCGGUGCUGCCAUGAGGCCUUAUGGAAAUGUUAACCAGCUUCAGUCACGACCACGUGAUUCACAAACACGUGUCACGUUCAUUGAUGAUGCAAGUGAUUACGAUGAUGAUUAUUAUAGGAGGGAUGAUAGAGGACGUUAUGGAUUCCAUGAUGCAGUUAUUGACAGUAGGGAGGCUGAGAAGAAGUUCAAAGGCACCAGGGUCUGAAAAUUAAUUAGCUACCUUGCUAGAUAGUAUGAAUUAUAUGGAGUUAUUUUCCAUCAAUAAUAACACUUUUCACGUUUCAGGUCAUCAAGUUUUAGUUAUAUAUGAUUAUGGAACUAGUGUAUGGAACUAUGUAUCAUGGCAUAGGCACCUAUAUGGUUCCCUACCUUUCUGUACUGGUUAAAGAGUAAAAAAAUAUGUGGUGUGUAAGGGUUGAAUGAAUGAAUAAAUACGUGGAGUGUUUAUUAAGUAACGCCCCUUUUUCUUUUUCAAUUAGUGGCUGGUCAUUCAUGCCUACAUUAAAAUGGUUCCACUCUAAUCAGAAGUUAUAUACUUCCAAUUCUAGAGAAUAUCUUUCAGUCCAUUUUUUUAUGAUUAUGUGCUGCAAGAUGUUAUGUUCAUUAUCAAUGUAUAUAAUACUUAUCAAACGUUGUAGGGAAAAUUUAGAAAAUGAGCUCGCAUUUAAAUUAGUUGAGAAAACAAUCUUACAGUAAUGGUUAUGAGUUGACAACAAAUAUACAUGUGACAAUUUCAUUGAUGCAUAAAACAAAGUUAUUAAAUAUGUAAAUGAUCC
rnacentral:lncRNA from 1 species